GAUCAAAGAAGAAGUGCAAAAGCAAAUUGGUGCUAGUUUCCUUAUUACCGCUAAGUAUCCGCAGUGGGUGGUCAAUAUUGUGCAUGUUCCGAAGAAGGAUGGAAAAAUCUGCAUGUGUGUCGAUUGUAGAGAUUUGAACAAGGCUAGUCCGAAAGAUGAUUUUCCUCUGCCACACAUUGAUAUGUUGGUAGAUAAUACAGCUAAAUUCAAAGUCUUUUCAUUUAUGUACGUAUUUUCCGGUUAUAAUUAGAUCAAGAUGGAACCCGAGGAUAUGGAGAAGACCACAUUCGUUACACCCUGGGGAACAUUCUGUUAUAGAGUGAUGCCUUUCGGUUUAAAGAAUGUUGGUAUAACGUACUGGAGAGUUAUGACCACUCUUUUUCAUGAUAUGAUGCAUAAAGAUAUUGAAGUCUAUGUUGAUGAUAUGAUUGCUAAAUCAAGUAAUGAAGAAGAACAUGUCGAACAUUUGUUGAAGUUAUUCCAGCGUUUGAGGAAGUACAAACUCCGCUUGAACCCCAAUAAGUGUACAUUCGGUGUUUGUUCUGGUAAGUUGUUGGGAUUUAUUUUCAAUCAUAAGGGUAUUGAAGUUGAUCCUGCCAAGGUCAAAGCAAUACAAGAGAUGCUUGCGCCCAAAACUGAGAAGCAAGUCAGAGGUUUUCUCGCCCACUUGAAUUAUAUCUCAAGAUUCAUUUCGCAUAUGACUGUCACAUGUGCGCCUAUAUUUAAGCUUCUUCGGAAAGAUCAAUAUUGCGAUUGGACCGAAGAUUUCGAGAAAGCUUUUGACAGUAUCAAAGAGUAUGUGCUUGAGCCUCCAAUUCUGUCUCCACCUAUGGAAGGAAGCCCGUUGAUCGUGUAUCUGACUGUGCUUGAUGAAAGUAUGGGUUGUGUUCUUGGUCAGCAAGAUGAAACUGGAAAGAAGGAGUAUGCUAUUUACUACCUCAGUAAGAAGUUCACCGACUGUGAGACUCGGUAUUCUAUGUUAGAAAAGACUUGUUGCGCAUUGGCUUGGGAUGCUAAGCGUCUGUGUCAGUAUAUGUUGAAUCAUAGUACUUGGUUGAUAUCCAAAAUGGAUCCAAUCAAGUACAUUUUUUAGAAGCCUUCUUUAACCGGGAGGAUUGACCGUUGGCAUACGUUGUUAUCAGAGUAUGAUAUUGAAUACCGAUCUUAGAAAGCGAUCAAAGGUAGUGUCUUGGAUGACCAUUUGGCUCACCAACCGAUUGAAGAUUACUAGUCAGUACAAUAUGAUUUUCCUGAUGAAGAGAUUUUGUACCUAAAAAUGAAAGAUUGUGAUGAACCAUUGCUUGAACAAGGGCCAGAACCUAGUUCCCGUUAGGGCAUGGUAUUUGAUGGAGUUGUUAAUUAGUACGGUAAUGGCAUUAGGGCAAUGAUUAUUACUCCUCAAGGAACUCAUUUUCCGUUUACAACUAGAUUUACUUUCAAGUGUACCAAUAAUAUGGCUGAGUAUGAAGCUUGCAUUAUGGGGCUUGAAGAGGCCAUUGAUCUCAGAAUCAAGUAUUUAGAUGUCUAUGGAGAUUCAGCUUUAGUUGUGAAUCAGAUCAAAGGUGAAUGGGAGACAAAUCAUCCCGGUUUGAUACCAUAUAGAGAUUAUGCGAGGAGGAUUUCAACCUUCUUUACAAAGGUUGAAUUUCAUCACAUGCCUCGAGAUGAAAACCGGAUGGAACAUGCGCUUGCAACGUUGGCUUCAAUGAUUAUGGUGAAGUUUUGGAAUGAAGUUCCUAAUUUGACUGUGAUUCGUCUUGAUAGGUCAACUCAUAUGUUUGUUGUUGAAGAAAUCAAAGAUGAAAAACCAUGGUAUUUUGAUAUCAAGUGCUUUCUCCAAAGUCAGAUUUAUCUGCCUAGGGCAUCUUUGAAAGAUAAGAAGACGUUGAGAAGAUUAGCUGGCAACUUCUACUUGAAUGAUGAUGUACUUUACAAGAGAAACUUCGAUAUGGUUCUGCUCAGAUGCGUGGAUAGACACGAAGCAGACCUGUUUAUGAAUAAGGUCCAUGAAGGUUCCUUUGGUACUCAUUCCAAUGGACAUGUUAUGGCUAAGAAGAUGUUAAGAGCAGGUUACUAUUGGAUGACAAUGGAAUCUGACUGUUGCAAGUUUGUAAAGAAAUGCCACAAGUUUCAAAUCUAUGCGGAUAAGAUUCAUGUUCCUCCGACACUAUUGAAUGUCAUUUCCUCUCCAUGGCCCUUCUCCAUGUGGGGAAUUGAUAUGAUUGGCAUGAUUGGCAUGAUUGAGCCCAAUGCUUCCAACAGGCAUCGUUUCAUUCUGGUGGCUAUUGACUAUUUCACAAAGUGGGUUGAAGCGGCAUCGUAUGCGAAUGUAACCAAGCAAGUUAUUGUGAUGUUUAUUAAGAAUCAGAUUAUAUGCCAUUAUGGUGUGCCAAGUAAGAUCAUUACUGAUAAUGGAUCUAACUUGAACAAUAAUAUGGUGGAAGCUCUUUGCAAAGACAUCAAGAUUGCGCAUCAUAAUUCUUCUCCCUACAGACCUAAGAUGAAUGAGGCUGUUGAAGCUGCAAACAAGAACAUCAAGAAGAUCAUUCAGAAGAUGGUUGUAACAUACAAGGAUUGGCAUGAGAUGCUCCCAUUUGCUUUGCAUGGGUACCGUACAUCCAUCUGUACUUCAACAGGGGCAACUCCUUUAUCACUUAUUUAUGGCAUGGAAGUUGUGCUCCCAGUAGAGGAUGAGAUCCCGUCACUGCGUGUUUUGAUGGAAGCCAAGUUGACAAAAGCUAAAUGGUGUCAGACCAAGUAUGACCAGCUGAAUUUAAUUGAAGAGAAGAGGUUAACUGCCAUGUGUCAUGGUCAGUUAUACCAGCAAAGAAUGAAGAAAGUGUUUGAUAAGAAGGUUAGAUCUCGUGUAUUCAGAGAAGGUAACCUUGUGCUCAAGAAGAUUCUAUCUUUCAAGCCAGAUGCUAUGGGAAAAUGGACUCCUAAUUAUGAAGGCUCGUAUGUUGUUAAGAGAGCCUUUUCAGGUGGUGCCUUGAUUCUUACAACUAUGGAUGGUGAAGAUUUCACGCGUCCUGUGAAUUCCGAUGCAGUCAAGAAAUACUUCACCUAAAAAAGAAAAGAACAGCUCGCUAAGUUGAAGAUCCGAAAGGGCGGUAAAAAUGAGUGUCUCGGUGGAUUGAAAACCCGAAAGGGCGAUCUAGGAAAAAGUUAGAGACAUAAAACAGAAAAAUCUAUCCCGAUAAAUUGAGUACCCCACCUUGGGGCGAUUUAUGCAAAAAUUAGGGAUUAUGGCAAGUAACCGCAUCAUGUUGAUCUUCAGUCUUGAAGACAUUCUUGAGCACUUCAUUUGGUUCUGAUUCGUCAUCUUCAACCGAAGCCAAGAGCAUAAUGGAUAUCAAAGUUAGUAGAAGGAUUAGUGAUCAUUGUAUUCAAUGUAGCCCUUUUCCAUGUAAAUUACCAUUUUUCAACUUUUGUAAAGAUCUAUGGGGUCUUGUCAUUUACAGACUACCAUUCUAUUAAAUAAAGUUGAGCUUUUUAUCCAUUUGUUUCUACUCUUACUUAUUUCAGCUAAAUAGAAUUAAAUUUUAUGAUGAUCAUUUUGAAAUUGAAUUUAAAAAUAAAAAUCAUAUUUUUCUUAAAAUAAUAAAGGCAAUUACUUUUUAAGAGCAAUCGAUUCCAUUAAAGGGACAUCAACAGCAGUCCUAAAAAUGCGAAGCAUUGUUGGUUUUCCCAAGCAGUUGGUUCGGUCAUCUUUUCCGAACGGAAACCCUACAUCUCCAGCCGGGUUUUGUUGAUUUCCCCAACUGAGUUUGUAAUCGCCUCCCUCGGGUUGAAGGCGCGUUAUCUCAAAGGUUUGCAUAGAUUCAGUACAGAUCUUGUUUCCCCUCAAGUCGUCAAUAGAGUUUGUGCCUAAACCCUGUUAGCACUAAUUCUUGAGCAAUAUUUCUAGUCCUCUACAAGGUUGUCUAUCAUUUAAUAUGGUGUUGACCAAAAAUUCCUCGUAGAGUUGAUGAUGCAGAUCCUCAGCAAUUCGUCCUCUUGCCCAGCCCAGAUUGAGCACUCGGGAUGGAUGAUUCCUGUUCAUCCUUAGCAACUCUUUUUCUCCAGCAGAUGCCUCAAUCCUGUUGAGAUUGGCUAAGUGUUGUAACGAUGAUUCAAGAUCCUUGACACUUACAUCCUUGUGUUUUUUUGGUCAGCAUAAUCAUCACAUAUACAUAUACAUAUACAUUCACAGAUUUCAUUAUUGCAUUAUUAUUGCACUUUGUGAUGCAUUCUUCUCUGAUCCUCUACUAUGGUGGUAUCCUUUUCCCAUACGUAGAUUUGGUGUAUUUGUCCUCCCUCAAUUGUAGAGUGUCAUCCCAUUAAGCAGAAAGAAUUUAACCUUUCUCAUUCCCCACCGAGUUAUUUCCUCGUGGAUAAUUAUUCUUUCAGCUUCCUCCCCAGUUGAUUAUCUGGAUGGAACCACUCCCCCUGAGUUAUAUCCUUAUUGGGUUAAGUCCUUGAUUGACCUUUUCUUUCUAGAUCCUACUUAGAUAGAUACUGUGGUCCUCCGAGAGUCUGUUACCCAAUAAAUGGUAAUAUUCUUUUCGGUUUGUGAGUACUUUACUUUUUCCCAAUACUCGGUAAAAGUAAUAUACUUUUUCCCUAUCCUUGAUAUGUACAUCCUAACCGAUGAUGGAUAUUCUUUCUCUUCUGAGUCUAUCCUUGAUAUGUUCAUCUUGACCGAUGACGAAUAUUCUCGUUUUGGUAUUAUGCCUAGUAAAAGGUAGUUGUAAUCCCUAUUUCAUUCCCCAGAGGAUUAAUCCUUGAUAUGUUCAUCCUAACCGAUGAUGGGUUUCCACCUCUUUGCGGUCUUCUGCCCAGUAUCCGGUAGUUGUAAAUCCUGCUUCUCCUUUGUAGAGUCUGUCCUUGAUAUGUUCAUCCUAACCGGUGAUGGAUAUUCUCUUUUCAAAAUUCUAUCUAGUAACUGAUAGAUGUAAUUCCUAUUCCUCCCCUUGGAGUCUAUCCUUGAUAUGUUCAUCCUAACCAGUGACAAAUAUUCUCUUUUCGGUAUUCUAUCCAGUAUAUGAUAAAUGUAAUUCCUGCUUUUUCCCGGUAGUCUAUCCUUGAUAUGUUCAUCUUAAAUGAUGAUGAAUAUUCUUCCCUUUGAGUCGAUCCUUGAUAUGUUCACUUUAACCAGUGACGGAUAUUCUCUUUCUUUACGGUCUUCUGCCCAGUAACCGAUAGUUGUAAAUCCUAUUUGGCUUCUCCCCUGCUGGUUAUUCUUACCCAGUAACUGGUAAUGAAUACACCUUCUGUUGCCCUCAGUGGGUCAUCCUUGAUAUGUUUACCCUAACCGGUAACAGAUGUCCCCUCUGUCAGAUUAUGUUAUCUCCCUGCCCAGUGACCGGUAGUGGAUAAUAUACUUCUGUUACUCCUGCAUCGAAGAUCUUUUCUUCCCAAGUUGAGUUCGAGUGCGCAUUUUCUCAAUGAAAUCUCCAUUUCCUGUUUGGUUCAGGCAUUUCAACUUUGUUCUGAUUUACCUGUCUCCCUUGCAGAUUUUCCCUUUUAUCCCCGGCUGAGUGUUUCCAUUGAUUUAUUUUCAUGGCAUCCCUCGUGUCCCCCAACAAUUUUAAGUCGUAGCGUGGCCUACGCAGAACCUUUUUACCCCUCAAAGUCUCUGUCUCCCCAGUGAGUUUUCCUUACGGAAUGCAUUAUACUCCUGUGGACUUUCAGUCUCUAUAGAUUUCUUUUCCUUUGUGGCAACAGUUUCCCCACAGAUAUUAUUUUAACAUUCAUAUCAUAUGCAUCAUGAGGUAUCUUAGGGACCAAAAUUUGUUUCUAUUGUUGUUAUUUAAGUUUAUUCUACUGAGUCGAUAUGAAGAUUUUAACCUUCAUCUCCUCAGCUAGAACGUCCUUUAACAGGGGCAACUGUAAGACCCCAAUUUUGACCCUAAGAUCCCUCUUGUCAUCUCAUCAUAUGCAUUGGGAACACACCUUGACAUUCUCCUUACCUUCAUUCAUUGGGUUUGCAUUGGGAAAGGUCACCAAGCACUUUAGAUUGUAUCAUACUUUGUUUUUCUUUAUUUACUAACCAAAAUACCAAAAAUAUGUCAAUGUAUAGUUUGUUGCUUUUGUAGGUAGUGUGUAUGCUCACCUAUGCCCUAUCAAGCUCAUAUCUAGGGUUUAAGACCCUCAAUAUAAGGAUCUCAAUCAAGAAAUGGUUCACAUUGUCUCUAAGUAUCAUAUAUGGAUCCCCAUGAUCUUCACAUGUUAUUUUGAUCAAGAAAUCAUCAAGAUUUUGGAGUUUGUUUGCCUUGGAAACCCUAAUUCAUAUGGGUAUCUUAUGUGACUUCUUCAACAAGUUUCUUUAAAAAUUGAUCAAAUAUCUCAAGGGAUACUUCAUAUUACAUCAUCUUAUGCAUAUAUGAUCCUACAUGAGCCCCAAAAGUCAAGAGAAUAUCAAGCUAGCAAGUUGGUUCUUGGUGGUAGAUCAGAGAAAGUCAACUGGUCAAAACUGGGGUUCCCUAGACCCUAUCUCCUACAAUUUUUUUCAUAUGAAAAUUAUUCCAGGAGAAAAGUUACUCUAAAGACAUUCCAAACAACUUUCAUGUUGAGGUCAAGAUCUAGUUUUGCUUGGAAAGUCAUUUUUUAUGGUGAAAGAUUAUAGGUCAUUUUGUCUGAACCCUAGUUUGAAGGUCAACUUCCCAAGACCAUAACUUGCUCAAUUUUUAUGAGAUGGAAUGCAUUCAAAUUGCAUGAUAAACUUCAAGAUGUCUACUUAAACUUUGAUGUUUUUAGGAAGUGCAAAUUCAACUUGAAAAUGCAUGUGCCAAGAGGAAACAUUAUAGGUCAUUUUGGACCAUUACCAUUGAAUAAGUGAUUUUCCUCAACUUCUAAAAUGCAUAACUCCUUUAUGCCAAAUCCAAAUAAGGUCAAAUUUAUGACCAAAUUGAAUAUUUUAGAAAUAGGUACAACUUUGAUGAAGGAACGUUUCUCAUUUGAAGUCCCUAGAAAAAGUUAUUCAAGGUGGAAGAAGUGAACAUUUGACUUGGGACUUAAAAAAAUUUCAAAUAUGUUUGAUUUCCCAAAAUUCCACCUCAAAAUUCAUCCUGAUCCAAGAUUCAAAUGAAAAAGUGUUCAACAUGAAAGUUGUUCCCCUUUAUCUUACCUUUCCAAAAAUUCCAAAAUCAUCUCAUUUGGCCAAAGUAUGAGGGACUUGCGCAUGAGUGUAAGUUAAAGCACCAUUUGGAUAAUUUCAAGUUCCAAUUUUCACACACAUUUGCAUGAGCUACUAACAAGAUUUCAGCAUGAAGUACAUUAAACUUUGGAUCAGAUUACAUCAUCUCAAGGCCUAGUGCACGCCCAUGCAUCCAUGCAAGAGAGGAAUUCAAAAUUUGCCAAAAUUGGAAGUGUGUGGAAAUCAAUCUCAUGGCCUAUAAAUAAGACCUUUAUUGCUUAGAAUUAAGGACCUAAGGCCCAAGCUUUGAACCUGCAACCUCAAACCCUCACCAUUGAAGGAUAAAGUUGAAGAUUUUCUUUGAAAAUCGAGUUUCAAUUCUCCAUCUGUUUUGAGAUUGAAACUCCAAGAGUCCAUCCCUUUCCUUGAUCUAUUUUACUUCCAUCAAGUAUCUGAAGCAAGGCCAAGCAUAAUUGAAAGCAAGAUCGUGCCAAUCUAAAGCUCCAUUGAAGGUGAUUUUUCAGAAUCUUCAUCUUUUCGAUUCUCUCUCAAUUCUUCACCAUUCUUGUUGAUUUUUGGUUGUCUGAAGUCCUAUGAAUGUAGGCAAGAAGAUUGAGUUUCUUUGAGGUCAAAUCAAAGCAACUCAGUUCAUGAUCCUCAAAAUUAAAAUCCCUGUAUCUUUUUAUAUACUUGGAAUUGGACAAAAUUGAGGCCAAAUUCGAGCUCCUGAGCAUUUUUUUCUUUAAAUCCAUGUCUUGCUUUUUCAUUUUUGUGGAGGUUGGUGGUGGACCAGUCUGCUGAGGUCCACUAAAGAAGACAACUGGAGCCCUAGCUCCGGUGGUGUGGUGGCAUGCUCCUAUCCAUCAGAUCUUCUCUUCAUCUUCUAAUCUCAUGCGUUUCUUUUAAUUACUAAGCCUAUGUCGCGUUGACUGCAGUGCAUCAUGGAACACAUGCUUAUCACCAUCUAAUCUACCACCUCAAUUAAUGAGGGAGAUCAGAUGGCUCUCAUUUUUUUGAAUUUCUUAAUAUUUCAUUUAAUCCAUUAUUCUUAAUUAAUUCAUAUUAAUUUCACUAUUAAUCCAAAAAAUAUGGGACUUUCACCAAAAAAAAUCAAAUAUUUUCCACUUUCAUUUUCUGAAUUAAAAUUAUUUUUUGGAUUAAUAUUGAUAUUUUUCAUGAUUUAAUUGUUUUUGUGCAUAUUUUUAAUUAUUUAAAAAUACUUUUGACUUUUCAAAAAUUAUGAAAUUUUUUGUCUAAGGUCCUUUGACCUAGGAUAAAUAUCUUGGCCAUUUAUUUGGUGUUUUGAAGAGAUUUUAGGUUUUUGAUCAAACAUAAUUUAAUUUAAAUGCAUUUUAAUUUGAUUUUUUUAAUUGAUUAAUUGUGAAUAAUUUGUGUUGAGCCAUUUUUAUUGACUUGUGAAGUUUGACUAUGUGUUUGGGCUUGGUCAAGGUUGAUUUGACUUUUGUUUGAUUAAAAUCAUUGGAUUUAGGGGAUUGAUGAAAUGUACAUUUCAUCUCCCAAAAUGAAUGAAUGAUUUUAAUUUGAUAAAAUUCCUCCCAUGACCAAAGGUUGAUUUGACUUUUGUUUGAUUAAAAUCAUUGGAUUUAGGGGAUUGAUGAAAUGUACAUUUCAUCUCCCAAAAUGAAUGAAUGAUUUUAAUUUGAUAAAAUUCCUCCCAUGACCAAUUUGUGUUUGUCUCAUCUCCCCUCCCUCUACAUCUUCAAUCUCAUUCCAUCUCAUCCUUCUCAUUAACCAAUGAAGUAUCAAUAUCCUAAGGCUAAUCGGUUCAUCAAUAACUUUGUGUUAGAUGAACCAAUACAAGUAUGGAUGAGAUUAGGUCCAUCCUUUGAUCAUUUUCUUCUUGUGUGUGGUAUGUUUUAGGAGUGUGGUUCAUUAUACCAUAUCUCUAACAUGCAUUAGCACCUAAAUUUCUAUUGCCCGACCUCAGAUAGUUGAGACUUCUACAUAAGUUCAAUUAUGAUUGCUUAACAUAACGCUAAAUUUUGACCCAAAAGGCAUAGCAUUCUAGUAAGUGGGAUUGUAAGUCUCCCCCCUUCAGGGUAUUGUGUGGAAACUUGGACUUUUUUCCUUCCUUUGGAAGAUGUCUUGGUUCAAGGAUCUAUGCUUGUGAAUAGAGGGUUGAGUGUUCUCCAAAGAAUGACUUAAUCAAUUGAAAAGCAAAACAAUACUAACAUCUAAUCAACUAACAUUUGACUAACUUUUGUUCUUAUUACUUUUAAUUUCAAGUCAUUUACUUUAUGUCAUUUAAAUUCAAGUCAUUUACCAUUUGCCAUUUUCCUUGUGCUCAUUUGAGCCAUAUAUUGUGAUUGUAUAUAUUUGUCUAUGUAUCCUGCUUGUGUUUGUGGUCUUAGGACCUUAAAAUACUUAAUAAACAAACAAAAAACCCUAAAAAAUGUUUGUGUGGACUGUUGGAUUUGAUCUGAGCUUUGGACUUAGAAUUAGGCAACAUUCCCUAUGUAAAAGGACUUGGCCAAUGCCAACAUAUCUAAAACUAAGUUAUUAUGAUUUGAGCUCUCAUCUAAUGCAAGUAUUGGGAUCCACUUGAGUUCAUCUGCCACAUGGUCUUGAUGCAAAUUUUACUUUAAACUUGUGUCUAAUGCCUAAUACUUUAAACUUGGGUUUCUAUAUGACACUCUUGUUUAUUAGAUUGCAUCCCACUGGUUAGAUCUUUUCAACUCUUAACUUUUAAAUUUUUGCUUAGGAUUAGUCUCUUCAUCUCCUCCCAUUUCUUAAAUUUCAAAUCUUUCCCCCCUUUGAAAAUCUUCUUUGCUAGUGAUUUCUAAACUUAAACUUUAUUACAAAUUAGAAACUUUGGCCUUAUGCCAUUGCAUUUUUGAACUCUUUACUUAAAUCAAACUUGUAAACGAACUUAACCAUGUUGACUUAAAAUUUCAAAAGACAAAAAGAACUAACACUCAUUCAAACUCUUUUAGGAAUUUUGUGCCUCUUUUAAAACUUAAACUUUUGUUAAAAGCAAAUCCACUCAUUUUGAAAUUGUUACCACGAACUACGAGGUUUUGAUCCCUCAUUUUUAUGUUAGAUCUACUAACAUAAAUUUGGUCAAGGAAUUCUCUAAGUUGAUGCAGGGAAUUUUGAAAUGAGCAUGAUGGGGGAGUUAAAUUACUUCCUUGGACUUCAAAUCAAGCAACUUGAAGAAGGAACUUUUGUGAGCCAAACGAAGUACUACAAUGAGUUACUCAAGCGCUUCGAUAUGGAAAAUUCCAAAGUAAUCGACACUCAAAUGCCUACUACGGUAAAUAUGGACCGAGAUGAAAAUGGUGAGGACGUAGAUAUAAAAAGGUAUAGAGGUAUGAUAGGUUCCCUCCUCUAUCUUACCACAUCUCGUCCAGAUAUUAUGUUUUAGUGUAUGUAUGUGUAUUGGGUAUCAAUCAUGUCCCAAAGAAUCACACUUAAAGGUCGUCAAGUGCAUACUUAGAUACCUCUACGGUACUUCAAAGUAUAGGCUUUGGUUUUCUAAGGGAAGUGAUUGUUCUUUGGUUGGCUACUUUGAUUCCGACUUUGCUGGUUGAAAAUCGGACAUGAAAAGCACUAGUGGUACUUGUCAUUUUUAUUCAAAUUCCUUAGUGAGUUAGCAUAACAAAAAGCAAGUUUCUGUUGCUUUGUUAACAGCCAAGACGGAAUACGUUGCAGCCGGUAGUUGUUGUGCCCAAAUCUUGUGGCUCAAACAAUAAUUACUCGACUUCAAUGUUCAACUUGAACAUAUUCCCAUUUUGUGUGGCAAUACAAGCGCCAUUAAUCUAACCAAAAAUCCUUUACUACAUCCACGCACUAAACAUAUUGAAAUCCGACAUCAUUUCCUUAGGGAUCAUGUUGAGAAAGGUGAAGUUGUUUUCGAGCACGUUGAUAGAAAAAAUAAACUUGCCGAUAUUUUCACAAAACCACUUGCCAGAACCUUUCUUCCACAUCUGUAGGGAACUUAGUGUUCUUGAUAUCUCAGAUCACUUUUAAAUUUAUAUAUGAUGUUUUCUCUAUAUCUAUGCUUGUCUAUUCUUUGAUUAAUCACAUUGAGAAGUGCAAGAUAUGUGAGGGCAUUCAUUGUUUAUCGUCAUUGGAGGUAAUAUUGUUCCUAUCUAUUUGAAUUAUCUUGAUCAUUUAUAUAUGUAUGUACUUGUUCUAUAUAAUGCACUUUCUUGAUGUUUAUUUUAUGGUUUGGUCUAAGCGUAAUCCAUUUCUAUGUUUGAAAUAUGUGUAAACUUGCUUAGGAAUCAUAUUUAACGUGCAUUCAUCAUUAGGACCAUUGUUGCAUUUCAUGUUUGCAUGUUAUUGCGUUUAGUUUAUUUGUCUUGAAACUUAUGUUUAACAAAUUUGUCUAUGUAGUGUACUAAAUUUCUUUUUCUAGUUCCGAGUCUUAUUUAUGAUUAUACUUCUUACAUUAACUUCAUUUUAUGUGAAUGAUUGUAGAUGUUAAUCUAUUGCAAAGUGGUUGAUCACUUGCUUAUGAAUAUAUUUUGAUUCUGAUUGACCUUGUCCUUGUCUCUUUUUUAUGUUGUCAAAGGGGGAGAAGCAAUGGAAACACAUCUGAUGAUUAUGAUAGCAGAUUUUUUUUCAAAGGAAUACAUAAAAUCUAGGGGAGGAUGUCUAUCAAAGUAUGUGAUAUAUGAAAGGUUGUGCCAUGGUUUACCAUCAUCAAAAAGGGGGAGUAUGCGAGGGCAAAGGUUCUUAAUCCUUGUUUUAGUAAUGUCAAACCUUUUAGUAGCUCAUAUUGUGUACUUUGGACGAUGUCAUCAUAUCAUAGAGUGCAUUCAUUCUUUAACAUGCUCAAAGUAUCAAUUUAAUGUGUCUCUGCAUAUAGGAGCAUCUCAUACAUGUCAAUAUUACACUUGAUCAUUGUUGGUACCUUGGGUCCAUAAAAGAAUGGUUUGGAUUGACCAAAAUACAUCUUAAAAAAUCAUUUUUGACCAUUUAAAAUCUUUGAGUCGACUCAUGUGUUUGAGCGGUCAACUCAUUCAUGCAUGUCAUUUUCUUUGUAACUCACGGGUCUGAUCAGGUCGACUCAUUUUUGGAAAAAUAAGAUGAGUCAACUCAUCUCCCUGUUGCGACCGACUCAUAACUUGUUUUAUUUGAAUUGUGUUGCUGCGGGUCUGAAUAGGUCGAGUCCCCAGUGUGAACAUGUCGAGUGGUCUCUGAUUUAAAAACAAGAUGAGUCGACUCAUCUCCCUGUUGCGGUCGACUCAUAACCUGUUUUAUUUGAAUUAUGUUGCUGUAGGUCUGAAUAGGUCGAGUCCCUAGUGUGAACAGGUCGAGUGGUCUCUGAUUUCACUCAUUUUUCUGCUGUAUAUUUUUUCUAAAAGAUUUGUUGUGUUUUUCACUUGGUCCAUAUAUAUAUAUAUAUAUAUAUAUAUAUAUAUAUAUUAUAUCUUGAGUCUCAUUUUCAAAAACAACAAGAAAAAAAGUGAAAGAUAUACAGUAAAGUUCCUUUUCAUCUUCAUUCUUCAUUGCAUGUUUCAACAACUACACAUAACAAUUUUUGUUGAUCAUAGUGCAUUGUUGUGGUGAUAACAUCCAAAUAGGAUUGUGUAUCUUGGUUUGGGUAGAGGUUUUUAGUGGGUUUUUCUUGAAUAAAAUCAUAGGAUUUUGUCCUCCAAGAUUUGGGGUUUUUUUACAUAAAUCUUUGCUUCAUAGAUUCAGCCGAGUGAAAGGUUUGAAAAACAGUGGGUUCAUUCGAACGAGUAACGGUAACCGGAGGAUUGUGAAUAAAGGUUUGGGCUCAAGCGUGUCGCGAUCGAAAUCAACCGAGCUAAAGUUUUGAAGAACUUGGAGUUCUUGCAAUAAGGUAGCUACAAUUGGAGGUUUGUUCGAAACGUUUGGAGCACUUGGUUCAACUUAAACCAAGGGGAGAGAAGUGAAUAGGAUCUAUAAGAACGCUUAGGUUUUCUUGGUGGUGAUUAUUUCUUCUCUUGCAUAAACUUUGAAAUUAACAACAAAUAUCUCAAUUCUAGGUUUAGAAACGGGGGCAGACAUACCCGAAGCGAGGACGAAAGAGGAACUGCCUAAACAAAUUUGGUGUUGUUCUCUCUUUCUCUAACUCUUUCAUUUUUGAAUAAAUUGAAUAUUGUGUAAAACUAAUUGGUAACUUCAUCUCGCUUAAUUGUUAUGCAUUAAAGCUGUUUGAUAAAUUAUUGCAAUCACUUUGGUUGUAACUAAGGAAAAUUCUACACAAUCAAUUCUAGUGAAAUUAAGACUUGGUGUAGUGUGCACACCAAGUGUUUGCGAAAACUAACUUCACACAAGUUUAUCAAUAUUUUUCUUGUUUUCUCAUUGUUUUAAUUCAUCAUUGGUGGUAGAUAUAUCGAUGAUUUGUGUAUUUGGUCGAUUUAUUAAGAUUGUCAUUCAUUAGCUUUAUCUUAGUCAUUCCAUUAGGUGUCACACAUAUCCGAUCUUUCCAGUAACGUAUCAUUUAGACGAUCAUGGUCUAGGGAGCUUUCGCUACCUUUAAAAACAAUUUUAAAAAGCUCCAAAAUUUUAAAUACUAAUCUAUUCACCCCCCUCCCCCCUUCUAGAUCAGUACUAUUGUCUAACAGAAGUUUCAUAUGAAGGUCACAACUAUUGAAGAAGUCCAAGACCUUGCCAACAUCAAAGUUUAUGAACUCAUUAGUUGCUUGUAAACCUUUGAGAUAACUUUGAAUAAUAAUCUAAAAAGAAGAAAAAAUUUAUAUCUUUUGUGUCCAACACUGAAGAGGAUGAAGAUCAAGGUGGAGAAAUUUUUUCAGAGGCUAUAGCCCUUGUUGGGAGAAAUUUGAACUACUCCAUAAAGAAACUGGAUAAAAGAUGGAGGACAUAUGUCCUAGAUAAGGUGCCAGAUAUCACUCCCCUAAACAUAGGCAAAGGAAUGCAAUGUUAUGAAUGUGAAGGGGUUGGACAUGUUAAAAUUGAAUGCCCCACUUUUCUAAAGAAACACAAAAAGGGAUUGUCAUUCGCUUGGUCUGAAUCUAAUGAUGCUAGUGAAGAAGAAAUAGCUAAUAAGGUGAUGGAUUUCCCUAGAAAAUAUGACUCUUGGAGUGAGUCUACUGAUGAAGAUAUCUUCUUGGAAGAGCUACCUGAAACUUAUAAAGAGUUGCUCACAGAGUGGUAGGAAUCUUUCUUUAGGAAAUAGAAAUAAAAUAAGACCAUAAGUGUUAUGCUCAAGGAAAAAGGAGAAGCUUGGCUCAACCAUUGGAGAUUGGAAGAGGAAGUCACAUUGUUAAAGUCUAAACUUAACAAUAUGACCAAAUAUGUACGUAUGUUGAACAAUGGUUUCAAUAUGUUAGAUGAGAUCUUGGAGGUUAGGGAGAAGAAGGCUAUAGGGUUUGACUAAAGUUUCAAGAACAAAAAGGUCAAAGUUCCUAAUAAGAAUUUUAUUGCUACUGAAAAGAAAUAUGAGUUUCUGAUGAAGGACCACGUGCCCAAGCAUCCUUCUCAACAUGUGUCCCCUCACCACAAAGGAAACAAAAAAUCAUCUUGGAGGUUUCACCAUUAUGGAAGAUAUGGACAUAUAAGACCAUUUUUAUAUAGACUAGAUGGAUAUCAUCACCUUGUCUAGAUGAUGUAUUGUUGGUAGAAGCAUUAACUAUUAACUUGAUCAGAAUAAGUCAACUAUGUGAUCAAGGUAUGAAUGUUAGCUAUAAGUCUGAAUGUAUUGUCUCUAGAAAAGAUCAAAAGGUGCUAAUGAAGGGUUCAAGAUCCAAAGACAAAUGUUAUAUGUGGAUCUCUCAUCCCUCAUCCAAGGAUAAGAGCAUGGAGGAGAUUAUAUAUGAAGAUUUUGUCAAUGGAUUGCAAAAACUCAUGAUUGAAGAAGGCAAAAUCUGUGGAGAGUGGAAAAUUGGGAAGCAAACAAAGAUAUCAUACAAGAUGCUUCAACAUCUUACUCAUGUUUUUCAAUUACUACUUAUGGACUUCAUGAGACUCGUGCAAGGAGUUGUCAUUAAAGGGAAGGCUGAUGGUCAGUAUGAAGGUCCUCCCAACAUUGAACAACCAAUAAUGGUUUAGAAGAAGAAACUAAACAAGUUUAGUGAUUAUGAAUAUUCAAAAUCAACGUAUUAUGUUUGGUGAAGUUGAAACAGGUGUUACUUUUGGUGUGUUGAAUCUCAAGUAUAAGUUGUAUAUCAGAAAACAUGUCAGAGACAUUGUUCCCCAUAAUAUUUGACAUUUUGAUGAUAUGGCCCAUGAGAAUAAUUAUGUGAGUAAUGAUGAUCAUGACCAUGAAGAUGUGGAUUGAUAUUGUUAGGUUAUUAAUAACAGUAUAUCAAUAUGAAUUAUUUUUAAGACAUCUUUAGCUCUAUCAGCAUGGGAAUUCCUCUUGUUCUAAGACAUCCUUAGUUUUAAUGAAAUCAUGAGGAAUGUCAAUGUGUUUAGUAAGACUGUGUUGAAUUGAAUUUUUUGAAAUAUUUAUAGCACUCGUGUUGUUACAAUAUAAUGUCAUAACAUCUUGUUUGACAUUAUACUCUUUCAGCAUUUGUUUCAUCCACAACAACUGUGUAUAAUUGUUGCGUGCAACAAUAUACUCAGCCUCAGCAUUAGAUAAUGACACACAACUUUGCUUCUUUUUGAACCAAGAAAUAAGAUUAUUCCCUAGAAAGAAACAUCCACCUGAAGUGAUCUUUCGAUCUUUAGCAUUGACUUCCCAAUAAAAAAAUGGAGUUUAUGUCAUGAGAUUAUGGAAUACCAUAGUAACAAGUAGCAUUUAUAUAUUUAAUGAUUCUUUUGACUUAUGUGAGAUGACUAACUUUUGGCUUUGCUUGGUAAGAAGCACAUACCCAUACUGAAAAAGUAAUAUCACGGCGACUGGCUGUGAGAUACAAAAAACUUUCAAUCAUGCUUCUAUAAAUACUUUGGUCCAUAUCAACUCCAUAUUAAUCUUUGGCUAGUUUGAUAUGAGUUGAUGCAGGUGUAUGUUUGUGCCUUGCACUCUUAAGGCCAAACUUGUUCACCAUGUUCUUAGCAUAUUUAGUUUGUGACAAAAAUAUACAUUCUUUAAAUUUUCUUCUUCUUGAAAUCCAAGGAAGUAGGUGUCGUACCUCAAAAAAAUGAGAAUACGACCUAGCGAAGCACAAUCGCACGCUCGCAAUGAUGGACUGAACAGAGUCUCCACUGAACUUUAUUUAUUCCUAAAAGGAAAGGGGAGAUAUCGAUAAAACCCAAGAAAGAACGACAAUGAUUAUGGUCAUCGCAACCAAAUCAGGUUUCGGGAGUCGAUUACGCAAGGGGAAGGUAUUUGCACCCCUCGUGUCCGUUGUACUCAACAGGAACCGUUAGGUUAGUUGUGCAUGUUAGUGUUAGUUUGAAAUGUUAGGCUUCUCGACGUAUUAGGUGGGAAAGAAAGAAUAGAAUAAAAUAAUGUUUUUGGAUUUUGGAUGAAGGGGACUAAGCCUAAGUUUUUUAUUAAUGGGCCUGACAAGAUUUACAAAUCCUGCUCCUACGUAUCUUCGAGCGUAAUAGAGAACUCAAGGCUUACGUAAUUCUAGGUAGAAAAAUGUUUAUUUGUUGGUAGAUUUUAGCGAAAGCUACUUUAUGUCAAUUGACGAAAAUAUUGUUGGACUACCCAAAACAAGUGGAGAAGGGGACGUUCGUAUCACGGCCGAAUGGAUUUACAAAUCAACAUUCAUGGGCAACGUCGCAAGCUUACUUACACGUUCAAGUGGACGAAACAUUGCUUUGCAUCGUCUUGAAACAAAAUACCUUUUGUUUGAGAAAGUUUUUAAGGGUUAAUCACACGACGGUGAAAAAAAGUUUGAUUGGUUUGAAUGUGUUUUGAGUAAUGGCGAGAACUUGGAUGGGUGGGAUAUCCAUCUCGAUUCCUAGUCUCAGGAGUGCAUGGUAUCCACCACGUUCCAUUUCCAUAUUAUUUGCAAAAGUAUUUAAUAAGAAUUAAGUGUUUUUGAAUUUAAUUGAGAAAGGGUUUGAAGAAAACGCAUUGACAAUUUUGGAUGAUGGCGAGAGCUAAGAUAAGCGAGAUAUCCAUCUUGAAUCCUAGUCUCAGGAGUGUGUGGUAUCCACCACGUUCCAUUUCCAUUUUUAUUGAAAAGUGUUAAAUAGGAAUUAAUUAUUUUUAAGUUUUUAUUAUGAAAAUGGCUUGACGUUGGAUCAAGCAUUUGAUGAGCGAUUGAGAAAGAUUUGAAUGACAUGGUUUGAAAGAAAUGGAAUAGAUAGAAAUGGAAUAGAUAGAAAUGGAUGAAUAAAAAUGGAUGGAUUUGUUUAUUGAGAAAAUAAUCGACGUUGGAUCAAGUCAUUAUUUUUGAUCUUUUUGAAAAGAAAUUGAUUUCAUUCUUGUGUUAGUAACUAACUAAACAGUCAAGCAAAUAAAGAAAUAAAACAGUAAAAUUAUUACACAUCAUGGGAGUGGGGGUACAUUUUGUCGAAUGGGGAUUCAAAAUAAUGAAAUAACUAAAUCGGGCCUAACCAACAAGCAAUGCAAUGUAUGAGUGUAGGUGUAAGAGAAACGUCUCAUUGUAAGAAGGUCCAAGAGUAAGCCAUGUGAAGAAAACAACGAACACACAAGUCAUAUUUACCAGACAUUCAAAAAUUAAAUUGAAAGAAGUAAAAUCGGGACGUGCACAGAUUAAAAUCAGGAUGCAAAUCGAAGUCACAUAACGCAAAGACGUGCAAGGCGAACGAAAAUUGAGGAACAAACAACACCUAGGUAAUGUGCUCAAAGUCGAUUUAUGCAUAUUGACAAUAAUCAAAAUGUCGUAUGCGAUGAAUAUAAAAACGCAACAAAAUAAAAUCAAUGUAUUGAUAAAAUCAGCAACAUAACGACAUGAAAGUUGUCGGAUCCAACAAAUUCAAAAUCCAAUUUAUCACAAUGGAAAUAAAUAGCAGCCACAACUAAUAAUAUUUACACAAUUUGUGGUAAAUUAAAAAAAAAAAGUUAAUGAAAAUGAAAAAAUAAAAAUAAUAAAACUUAGAAUGCUAAUAUAAGUUGAAGACACAAAUACAUGUUAUUACUAAAUGGACUCAUAAAAAUCUACACCCUCAAGCCCAAAAUAAAACAAAAUAAAGAAUAAACUAAAUAAAAUAAAAUGAAAACUGAAACAAUAAGAUCCUAAUUUACAAAUUAACAAUAAGUAAAUAAUAAUAAAAAAUUGAUGGAUGGAUAGAAACGCGGAAGAUAAAACCAAAAGGCAAAUGCAACCGAAAUGCGCACUGAUUUCGUUUGACCACACACACCACUUUUCUUAAAACUUAUUAUGUUGAAACACCUUAAAUGCUAAAGAAACAAAAGAAACAAAAUUAAAGGAAAAUAGCCAAAUGGAAAUGAAACCCUGUAUCCCAUUCUUUCAUGUACAACGUUUCCUUCCAAAAAAGAUCUUAGAAACUUCAACUUAAACCCAAAUAUAUUUCAACUUUAUAUCUCAAAUCUAUUUUCAAAACCCAACUUAACUUAGUCAGGCACACAAGACACUUCAAACAUCAUAUCAAAACAAAAAAGUUAAUGGAGAAAAUACCUUAAAUGGCCACGACGGUGGUAAAGAGCAGCUCCGGUGGAGGGAAACAGAGACGCCGGUAAGGGUAGUGAGGUGUACAUGUAGCUUCGCGGAGAAUUCACGAUUGAGACUCGGUUUUAUCAAAGGAGAACAAUGGAACGGCAGAUGUAUGUUGUCCGUCGCCUUUCAAAUCCCCUUGUAACUUGGUUUAUAAAAUCCAAUGUGAAUAUGCGUAAGUCAACAUUAAUCCAAAAAAAUAGAGACGACUGGUUGCUUGGAACCUAGUAACGAGUUCCACCGAUGAUGAUUUGCACGGUAAAGGAGGUCGUGUUACGGUUGUUGGGUAGCGUGUGGUGGUGUUCUUGCAUUUGUCAUCGCUAUUGUAUGAUGAUGCAGAUAGAAGGAGGUUUUGUGUGAAGUUAGAAGAAGAUGGACAAUGGAGAAUAGAGAGAGGGAGUGUUGAGGAAUGGUGCGGUUCUGUUUAAUGGUGAAGGAAGAUUCACCAAAAUCGUUUUAUUGAGAGGAUGGUGGGUAUGUACUAGUUAGUGGUUUUUUUCUUAGUAUGAAGGAGUGUUCUCUGUAUUUUUUUUCUCUUUCUAUCCUUUUUAUCCAAAAACCUGUCAUAGUGGAGCAGAAAUGAAUGCCUCUCAUCCCACUAAUCUGUAUACCUCGCCACAUUCUCUUUUUGAUUUUGAAAAAAAAAUUCAGCCUUUACCAAUUACAACAUGCCACAUGUCUCUUAAUUGUGAAAAACAUUGGAUUCUCUUGACAACUAAUGGAAUGGAUCACAUGUGCAAAAUAACAACCCAAUGUCUCAAAUUCAGAAUUUUUGUGAGGAGCCUCCAUUGAUGUGUUGCCAAGUGUCACCUUGUUACUGACAAUUAAUUCUUGAUUUUUUUAUAAAAAAAACCUUUUAAUGAUCAAAUAGAAUUAUAAAAGAUAACUUUGAAAAUCAAAUUAAAAGAAAAAUAAAAACAAAAAUUCGAAUUAAAUGAUCGAUUAAUUCUAAUUAGUUAUGUCGACCAUCUUGACUAAAAAAUAAAAAUAAACGGAUAAAAAAUGAAUGAAGACAUGACACAAAAAAUGCUUGAAAAAUUAAAAUAAAUGCACCAUAAUGAUCACCGCGAAAUAAAUGACUCAGAAACACACAGGUUUUUGCCAAAUUUUAAAAUGGAAAAGACUCGGUUAAAACACUCAGACGAGUCAAAAGUGACAGAAAAUAUUAGCUGAAAAAUAAAUCAAGCAUAUCAGAUUAAACUACGCGAAACGUAGAUUAAUAAAACUAAUGUCUGCAAGCUUGAUUUUGAAAUUUUUCGCCCGCUGAUUUGACGCACAUCUGUCAAUUAAUUCAAACGGUAUGCCUGUAGAUCCGAAAAUUUAUUUCGAUUGAUUUUCUAUACAAUAUGCGGUAUGGAAUGCAUGGUAUGCUAUGUAUAAAUGCAAUAACUAUGAUGAAUGUGCUAAAUUGGUGAAUCAGGGUCAAAAUCGAGGUGUGACAGUAGGUGAUAUCAGCUAUCAAACUCAUUUCAAACUUAUAUUGCAUUUGUUGAACAAAAUGUUAUACCAUCUUGUUUGACAUUCCUCCAGACAAGAUAUCAUCCACAUAAAUAUGAGCAAUCAUCAAUAUUCCUUCCUCUUUCUUGAAAAAUAAAUUUUGUCAAUACCACAUUUGCUUAAACAUUUAUGGUGAGAAAUUAUGUGAUUUAUUCAUACUAAGCCCUUGGAGUUGUUUUAAUCCAAAUAGAGCCUUCUUUAGUUUGUGAACAUGAUAUGGUAUGCUAGGAUAAAUGAAUAAUUUUGGUUGUUCAACAGAAACUUCUUCAUUCAAAAAUCUAUUUAGUAAUUCACUUUUGACAUUCAUUUGAUACAACUAUAAUUUCAGAACACAUAAUAUUCCCAACAGAAGCUUGAUAGAUUCAACGAGAGUAAUUGGAGCAAAGGUUUCAUCAAAAUAAAUACUCCCUCCGUCCCACAAUGAGUGAUCUAGUUGACCAUUUCACACAUAUUAAGAAAAAGGAAUAAAUGAAAGAGAGAUGAUGAUAGUUUUACUAUACUACCCUUAUCAUGUAUUGAGUAUGAUGAAAGUAAUAUUAAUUAAAGGGUAAAAUUAGAAAAAAGUGCAUUGGAAAUUAAAAUGGGUCAUUCAUUUUGGGACACUCUUUUAUUCCAAAUGGGCCACUCAUUGUGGGAUGGAGGGAGUACCUUUUAUUUGGGUGUAUCCUUAAGCCACUAAACGAGCUUUAUUCCUUGUCACAUUGCCAUUCUCAUUUGACUCGUUAUUAUAGAUCUAUUUGGUUUCUAUGAUGUUGAUUGAAUCAGGUAUGUGAACGAAUUUCCACACUUUGUUUCUUUCAAACUGAACAAGAUCUUCCUGCAUAGCAUUGGACCAAUAUUCAUCAGUUAAGGCUUCUUUAACAUUAUUUGGUUCAAAUUUGGAGAUAAAACACAUGUUAGAAAUAACUUCUUUGGAUCUGGUGGUAAUUCCUUCAUUGAGAUCUUCAAUCAUAUUUUCUAUGGGGUGAUACUUCUGAAUUCUGACAUAUGGGCUUUUAUUUGUUGAAACAUUUUCCUCACUAUCUUUAGAAUCUUCAACUUCAGGAUUAUGAAUGAUGUCAGUAUCUUUGCUUGACACAUCAGGUGUGACAUUUUGCUCAUUUCUAAACAUGUAGUUUUCCUCUUCAUCACUUGUUUCAAUUUAAGGAGCGUCAUCUACAACCAUACUAAUGGAUUCCAUAAUUGCCUUUGUGUGGUUUUUUAUACACACAACAUUCUCUGUUGUUGACAAAAUAUCCCAAGAAAAUUCCUUCAUCACUUUUAGGAUCCAUCUUGCACCUUUUCUCUCGAUCAAUUAAAAUAUAGCACUUGCUGCCAAACACAUGGAAAUGUUUGACAUUGGUUUUUCUUACUUUCCAUAGUUGAUAGUGUGUAACUUUAGUGUUUGUCAAAUGGUUACUCAAGUGUGAAUGUGACCAAUUGUAUUCAUUGCUUUAUCCAAGAAGUAAUAAGGUGGAUUCUUCACGUGAAGCAUGACUCUGGCCAUUUCUUGAAGAGUUAUAUUCUUGUUUUCAACCACUCGAUUUUAUUGUGGAGUAAUUGGAGUAGAGAACUUAUGAGCAAUACAUUCUCAAGAGAAGAAUUCUGAAAAGUUGGAGUUUUCAAAUUCCCUUCCAUGAUCACUUCGUAUUCGAAUAAUCUUGCUAAUCUCACUUCCUUUCUCAUGUUGAAGGGGUUGCCACAAUAUUUCAGAUGUGAUAAAGGUGUCAUAUUUUCUCUAAGAAAAUCAAUAUAGGUGUACCUUGAGUAAUUAUCAACACAUACAAAAACAUAUAUCCUUCCAUCCAAGCUUUCUACUUGCAUGGGUCUCAUGAUAUCCAUGUGAAGUAACUCCAAGAAUUUUGAGGUGGUAAUGAAGAAGAAUUGCCAUCCAAGGCGCAGCUGAAUUUAAAAAUUUCUCCAUUUAGUGAUCCUUACGAAUGGGCAUGAUCAGUGAUAGAAUCGUUACCUCUUGUGGUGAUCACGAACGUUGAACGAUGACAACGUCUCUACUCAGUCCACACGCAACGGAUUCCUUCAAUCUCAGUGCUAGCUGGUACGAAUGAAGGCUUUGAGUGAGAGAGAGAGGAGGGAAACGAAAUUCCAAGUCUUCACUUGAGUUGAGUCUUAGUUAGAAUGAUUCUACCCAAGGGUUCUAUUUAAAGAACCACUUGUGUGGGCUUCAAGCUAAAAAGCCCACUUAAGUGUAUUUUGGCCCCAUAUCUCAUAAUAUGCCAAAUCACUUAAGUAUUUGGUACCUUACCAUAUUUCGUCUUCCACUUAGUGCACCGUAUUUACGGUGUUCCUUAGUUACUCUAUUUCUCAUCAAUCCGUCCUUUGUGUGUGACUCUGUAGGUUUUCGCCGAUGUUGGCAAUUAUAUUAAAUCACGCAUUUAAUAAUAAUAAACAGUGAGCGGUAUCUAGCAACACAUCACUGCUACCCAAGACACGAAAAUGUCAUGUGAUCUGACAAAACCUCAUGUGAUAAUAAUUAUGUGUAUAAUUACCCCUUUGCCUUAUGUCUAUAUUGAACAAAAGGUAUAGACCGUGUCAUCUCUUUCCAGUUCAAUAUUGGCCCAUAGAUAUUUAUCCUGUUACGCAGGAUGGGCAAAUUCCAUCUAGGUCACUCAUGUCCCUCAGCAUGCUUCGUGGAGUACCACAGAACUGUCUUUAUAGGUUAUCCAGUUACGGACAAUGUUGGAUCAGCAAUAAAGCACUCGACUCUACAUCUAGGAUCCAUAGUGGUUUCAGGUCGAGAGGUGGUAUACACCAUUAUCACCAUGAGAAUAACUUAUGACACUUUGCAUAACUUUCUAUAUAGUAUUCUCAUAGCGGGUCAAUUUAUUAUAAAAUAUUACUCUUAAUAUUCAUACCUAUGUUUAAGACUUGAUAACUCUUUAUCCAUGAUCCAUGAGAUGUGAUCAUCAGUCUACAAACAUAAUAGUCUAAUGCUUUAAUGUUAUCCCACUUCACACAAUACAGCUCGACUACGGAUACUUUAAGAAUAGUGUCCCUAUGUUUAAUGUGCUCUCAUGAUCAAGUCACAAACUUGAUACAUUAAACGGACUAUCUAUUCCAGGGACUUUAUUAAACAACCAUAAUAAAGAAAAAGCCUUUUAUUAUUAAUAAAUAAUUCGAUACAAGUACCAAAAGUAUUGGCCUCUAGGGCUUACACCAACAGGUAAUAUGUUGUAGCUUCUUGUGAGGCAUCUUGGUCUGUUUUCCUAUUUGGAAAUCUCCUUAAAUUCUUCCUUCUCCAAUCUUGAGAUUAUAAAGGCCAUUGACAGCCUUUUCAUAUAUAAUAUUCUUAUGCUUCUAAGAUUAAGAUGACCAAGUUUCUUGUGCCACAACAUGGUUUCAUCCUCUUUAGUAAUCAUACAAGUUAAGGGCUGAUCAUUUGAUUAAGAUAUCCACAUGUAGAAGUUAUCUAAAGAUCUUAUACCUUUCAUGAUUUUCUUUAGGAUUUUGUUUGUGACAAUACAUUCAGAAUGAUUGAAGUUGGCACAAAGAUCUUAAUCACACAGUUGGCUGAUAAUAAUGAGAGUAGCAGCCAACCCUUCAACUAAAAGAACCUUUUCUAAAUUAGUGAGGCAUGGAUAAUCUAGUUUCCCUUUUCCCACAAUCAUUCCUUUAUCACCAUCACCAAAAUUAUCAUAGUUAUUAGUAUAGGUUUUACAUCUUUCAAUAGUUAUUCUCUCUUGUCAUGUAUCUAGAGUAGCCAUUAUCCAAUUACCAAUAUUCACGAGAGGAUGCUCUUUGAGAGGUGUGAGAAAUGUGACUCGUAGUUGCCUCCUUAACAUUCCAGACAUGUUGGACACAUUCAUUUCUUUAUGUAUUAUUCAUAGGUUGUUAUUUGUAAGAACAUAAAGGUCUACCAUGAAAUUUGAACGUGAUUCGAUCUAUGCAGGUGUAUUAUCACACAAGUAUGGAAAUAUCAAGCUGAAAAUUAUUAAUGGUGAGGAUGCAAGGUGCGGUCAGAAGGAUUCUCUUUGGCGGAGGGACAUCUUAUUAGUGGGUAAAAAUUCGGUUGAAGAAUGUAACUGGUUCAGAAAUAGUAUCACAUGAAAAUUGAGAUAUAGUAAUUCUAUUAGUUUUUAGGGAAGUAUCCGGUUUAGGAGUUGCUCAAUUCGUAGGUUGUUCCCAAAUUUAUUCUAACUUUUGAGUAAUAUUGAUGGUAGCAUUGUUGAGAUGGGUUGUUAAACUGAAAUCAAAUGGACGUGGCACUUCUGUGUCAAAGAUUAUUGGGCAUGUGAUAAAGUUAAAGUGCAUAUGGAGGACUUAAAAAACCUUCUGGCUAAAACUACACCUAACCCUUUGAUUAGAGACUGGUUGAUUUGGAUGUCUAAUAACAUAUGUGGUUUCUCUGCCAAGCAUGGUACAUGUCCAUCAUUGAGGGGAAAAGCAUAGAAGACUAGCUAGAUGAAGGCCUAUUGAACAAGUUUCGUUGUAUUUGUAAGACAAAGAUUCCUUCCAAAGUCCAAAUAUUUUUAUGGAGAUUGUUACUAGAAAAAAUUCCUACCAGAAUAAAGUUGAGUAAACGAGGGGUGCUUGAAGGAAAUCAUAACAUUUUGUGUGUAACAUGCUUGAAGUUGAUGAAUCUGUAUGUCAUAUAUAUUUUUAGUGUCACUUCUACAAAAAAACAUGUUAUCUCGGACACGAAGGGGAUUUUACCUCGAUUAUACAUACGAGGUAGCGAAGGGCAACAUCAAAACUUGCCACUUUACCCAUCGGUUUCAGAAUAACCAAGGGGAUAGUUGAAAUUGUCAUUGCUUUGAUCCCCAACAAUAGCAUUUUUUAUUUUCAAAUCUAUGUAGCGCGUGCCACAUACCUCUCGGUUUGAUAUUAUAAUCUAAAGGCAUAACCUAUUUUUUUGUCAUUUAUAAUUUUUUAAAGAUCUCAUUUUGACUAGCCUGUUGUUGGAACAAAUUUGGUUUUACAUCUACAAUCCUUAAGUUUUGACGAUAACAAAGUAUAAAGAACAAUUAUAUGCACUAAUAUAUUCAUUAAGUAUAUAGAAUCUUAAAGAUAAAGAAACCAAAUUAUGGACUCUGGACCAAAUGGACUAUGGACAAAGUAGACUCUAGACAGAGCAGACUCUAAACAAAGUAGCCUUUGGAUUCUGGACAAGAAACUUUGAACUCUGGACAAAGUAUACUCUGAACUCUGGAUAAGAGACUCUGGACUAUAUAUAAGAGACUCUAGACUCUGAACUUCAACAGAUUCUAAAACAAGGUUGAAAUAUGAAGAAGUGUUCAUCUGAUAGUCAACCAUCUGGAUAACCAAGUCAACAAUUCUAGAACAAACAAUCCAGAUUUACUCUGAUAACCCAAGCCUCAUUUUCACUAGACUUUGAAGUCUAGUCUUCAAGGCUCUAAACUAUGAUCAAGCUUCAAAUCAUCUCAAAUUUGAAGCCAAUGAUUUAGAGAAUAAUAUUGAAAUAAUAUUCUUGGAGAUAGUAUAUUCAAUGGGCAAAAUCAAAUGUUUAAUUAAAAGGAAAACUAUACUAGAACUAUUAAGGAAUAAACUACCAAUAGAUCUCCACAAUUCAUGGAUUAACCUCGUACCAUUAUUGUAACUAUGAAUUUGAAGAUAUUUCCAAUUCCAUUCUCCAACAAUACUAUUCAUCAUCCAUUUAAAGAGGAUAAGGAAUUUUGAAGAGAUACACAUGAAGAAUAAGAAUAAUAACAAAGUGAGUAAAAAGAAGAACAACAAACGAGAGAAACAACAAUUACAACACUUACUACACUUAGAAGUAUUAUUGUGUAUUUUCUUAAGUGUAAACUCUGAAAUUUAUAUUGUGUAUCUGCUUGUUUAGAAGUAUUAUUGUAAUCACACACUCUUUGUAUUUUUAAUUUGGUUAAAUUCUUUGAGGGACUAAGUUUAAUUUGUAGCCUCGAGAAGUCAUUGAAAGUUGGUCUUUGAGUUUUUAUUUUGUUUAAUUGGUGGAUUAAUUCCUUAUAAGAAGGUGAAAUCACUCUGACGAAUGAACUGGACUACCUUAGUUAACAGUGAAGUAAUAUAAAUAUCAUGUGUAUUUCAUCAUUGUUUUUCUUGUCAUUGGUUUGCAAAAAGUUGUCAUAUCUGAAACCAAAUUCAAAUACCCCCUUCUUGUGCUUCUUGAACCUUCAAUUAGCAUCAAAGCUUCGGUUAUUAUAUUGACUUUUUGUAUCAAACACUUAAUUGUGUCCGAUGAAUAUCAGUGUUUAGAAAGAUAGUAUGACAUCUACCAGCAACAAUGAAAAUAUCAUUACUCCCUUAAACCUCCAAUAUUUGAUGAAUAAGGUUUGACUAUCGAAAGUUUCUUCCUUGGAUAUGAUGCUGAUAUAUGGGAUAUGGUAAUGGAUGGUUAUACACAUCUCGUAGAUCAAAUGGUGUAAAGCUUGAAAGAAACAAGAUGGAUGGACAACAAAAUAAGGAAAAAAAGAAUCAUCAUAUAUCCAGAAAAAUCUUAUUGAAUGCUAUUUCUUAUACUGAGUAUGAGAAUAUUACAAAUAAAGACUCAGUUAAGUCUAUAUUUGAUUCUUUGAGGAUGACUCAUGAAGGAAACUAAGGAUAUGGAUUUGAUCCAGAAAUAUGAAGCUUUUAAAAUGGAGGAAGAUGAAAUUAUUGAGGAUAUGUUCUUAAAGUUUAAAACUCUAGUUGCUGGAUUGAAAGUUUUGAAUAAGGGUUAUCUAUUAUGAGUGCAAAGAGCCCGACCACUAAAAAAUGAGUGUCCCAAACUCAACAAAUAAAAUCGUAAGAAGAAAUUCUUCAUAGAGAAGAAGAAAAUUUCAAUGAAACAUGGGAUGACUCUGACUCUUCCAAGAAUGACUCUGAAUAAUGGCAAGAUAACAUGAAGCUUAUGGCUAGCACUGAAGCCUCUAAAUAUGAAUCAGGUCCAGACACUGAAGAGGUAUUUUUUCAUCUAACUUGUUAUGAACUUGAAUUAUCUUUAGUUGAAAUUCUUGAAAAGAGUCAGAGACUCCAAAAAAGAUACAAGAAUCUGAAACAGAUUCGUGUAAUUGACUUUGGAUCCAUAGUGAGUUGAUAAAAGAAAAUUCUAUUUUAAAAUAAAAAAAUGAUAGUUUUGAAAAAUAAAAAUUUGUUCUCAAGAGUAAGAGUGAAUAACUAGAGAAGGAAAUUCUUUCAGAAGCUCCUAUGGAUUAUGAGUGUGUCUCAAAUAAAUAUAAAACAUCUUUUAAAAACUUUAUACCAAGAAACAUAGAUAGAAGAAAAAUAGCUCCCAUGAUCUAUGGAGUAUGUAGAAAUGGUGAAAGAGGAAUUGAUUAUGUUCCACCAAAUAACUUUAUGUUUAAAUAUAAACCCAAAGAAAUGGUGAUAAAACAAAAAGCUCUAUAUUCUCAUUUUACUUAUGGUCACAUAUGAUAUCUAUCUUUUAUAGAAACCUUGGGUUGAUAAAACCUUUGAGAAAACUAACCAUAAAGGAUCCAAAAAGAUGUGGGUAUUCAAGAACAUAAUAAUUUAUGUUGCAGAUAUCCUUAACAAUAAAGUUGAGACACCAGUCAUGGUACCUGGACUAUGGGUGGUCUCGACACAUGGCGGAAAGAAGGCAUAUGUUCCAAUGACUAGAACUUAAGCUUGAAGGUUCUAUAGGUUUUGGAGGAAAUCAUAAGGAUAAGACCAUUGGUACCGUAAAAAUUGGUAACAGAUCUCUUCCCUCUAUUAAAAAUGUUUUAUUUAGUUGAAGGUCAAAUGCAUAACCUCUCAUCCAUAAGUCAAUUAAGUGACAAUGGUUAUGACAUUAUAUUUAAUCAAAAGUUCUAUAAAGUUGUGAGUCAAAAGGUUGUCUGUGUACUUUUUAGUGGUAAGAGGAAAAACAACAUCUAUAAAAUUAAACUUUUUUAUUUAUAAAAACAAAAUGUAAAAUGACUUAUGUUAGUGAAUGAAUAAUAAUGGACUUGGCAUAGACCGUUGGGUCAUGCUAGCAUGAGAAGAAUCUCUAAGCUCAAUAAGCUCAAUGUAGUUAGAGGCCUUCCAAAACUAAAGUUUUCUUCCGAUGCUCUUUGUGAGGAAUGUCUGAAAGGCAAGUUUUUUAAAACCUCUUUUAAAUCUAAAUUUUUUGUUUCCACCUCUAGGGCUCUGCAACUCUUGCAUAUUGAUCUGCUUGGGCCAUUUAAAACAACUUCAGUAAAAGAAAAUAAGUAUGGAUUAGUCAUUGUAAGUGACUACAGAAGAUGGACGUAGGUAAAGUUCUUAAGACACGAGGAUGAGUCACAUUGUGUGUUUACUACCUUCUGUUCAUAAGUGCAAAACGAAAAAAGGUUUAACAAUUGUUAAAGUCAUAAGUGGUCAAUUUAAAAAUAAAUAUUUUGAAAAACUUUUUGAAGAUAAUGACAUCUCUCAUCAUUUCUCAUGUCACAUAACUCCUCGCAUAAUGGAGUUGUAGAGAGGAAAAGUCGUACUUUACAAGAAAUAGCCAAAACCAUGAUCAAUAAGACAAAUGUUGCAAAGCACUUCUAGGCAGAAGCAAUGAAUAUUGCAUGUUACAUUCAGAAUAGGAUCUCUAUAAUAACUAUUAUGAAUAAAACUCCUUACAAAUUGUGGAAUAACAAAAAACCUAACAUUUAUUUCAUUUUGUUGUAUUUGUUUUAUGCUGAAUACUAAAGAUAACUUAAACAAGUUUGAUUCUAAAGAUCAAAUGUUUAUCAUGUUAGGAUACUCUGAAUGCACAAAAGGCUACAAUUCAUAUAACACUGAAACCAUAAUUGUUGAGUAAUUAAAUCAUAUUAAGUUUGAUGAUAAGCUUAACUCUGAAAAGUCAAAGCAAGUUGAAAAGUUUACAUAUUUGGAUAUUAUCUAUUCAAACUCUAAAGACAGGGACUCUGAGGAUAAAGACUUGGGAAGUCUCGACAUGAAACUGAACAAUCAACACUAGAAGUUGCUGACACACCAACACCUUGGAGAAAGUACAAGCAAAGACCCUCUCAUCCUAAAGAACUGAUUAUGUGGGACAAGACAGAAUCUAUAAGAACCAGAUCUUCAUUUAGAUAAGAUGAAGAAAUGCUUCUUAGUUUGGUGUCUAUCUGUCAUAAUCCAAUACUUACCCUCCCUUUUUCCUUUUUUGCAUAAACAUUUGCAUACAUCCAAUCAUAUCAUACAUGACCAUUGCAUUUUGUCAAGGGAUCACAAGCAUGACCACAUUGUUGGUUUGUAUCUUAACAUUAGGGUUUCAUCUUUAUUUUCUUAUCAAUUAACCCUAACUGCAUUAAGGGAUGGUAUUUGUUUGCUCUUGUUACUCAUGUAGGUAAUUAUGCUUCAAAUCAAGGCAAGACCAAGGCCUUUUGAUAAAGGAAAAUGCAAGAUUGCUCCAUGUGAUUCAAAGGUGGUUUAUGUGUUUAUUUCCAUUAAACAUCACCUAAUAUUCAAGAUAUCUUUAAGUUCACUCAAUACAUAAUUAGGUUUUCAUAAAGGGAUGCUCAUUAUAUCAUCAUCAUGGCUUGAAAUGCAAGAAAACAUCAAAAUUGCACAAAGGGAUACAAGUUGGUUUGACCUUGCAAGUAUGUCAUGCCUUUGGUCCAAACUCCAUAACUCCUUCAAUUUUUAUUCAAUUUAUAAGAUUAUUUGAUCCAAGUGUUCCUUUUAGGAUCCUAUCCAACUUUGAUUCAAGGGUAUAACAUCAAUUCAUUCAUUAAGGACCUCAUUUGUCCAAAGGACCAAGUUGCCAAAAUAGGCCAAGACCUUGCCAUGACCCCUACUUUCCACCCUUGCCAUUUUCAGCCCAAUUACUCUUUUGAUCCCAUUAUUUUUGAAUUGUGUUAAGCUUAUGUCAAAGAUCAUUUGGCCCAAGAUUGACUUAAAAUUCACAAGGGAAUCAAAAAUUAUGGUAGCAUCAACAUGGGACUUCAAAAUGACCAAACAUGCUGCAAAGUGCUUGACCAGUUGCCCAACCUAAAAACAAGGCCGCGACCCCAACUUCACAAGCAUGUAACUUUCACCUCAAAGCUCCUCUUGAAUUUAUUCUUUUUUCAUCUUGUUCUACUUCCUGAAGUGAUCAUUUGGCUCAAAGAAAAUCAGAAAACGUAGGAGUGGAUUGGAAUUGGCCUAAGCAUGAACAUGGUGGCCUAAAUUAUGUUUUGCAUCGUGACCUAUAAUGUGGAAACAUGCCAAAAUCAACUUGGGAUCAGUUCUAACACGUGCAAACUUGUUUACCGUGACCAAAUGCAUCUGACCACAACAUGAAACAUCUUGCAAAGCUCCAAAAUCACGGGUUUGACACCAAAUUUUCACAAGGUUUGGAUCUGAAAUUUCUUGAGUUGAUUCACACGAAUUAAGAUCCAUUCCACACGUAUUUGAAUUCCAACACAUUCCAUAUAAAUAGAGUAAUUUUUUGCCUUCAUUUAUAAGCUUUUAAAGCCAAAGAAACUAUGAAAUCAUUGAAGCCUGAUACCUCAAAUAACCAGUCACUCUCUUUUUUGAUUCAAGUCCUUUUGCUUCCAUUUCUUUGCCCAAAAUCCUUCAUCGGCAUCAUCUGAAGUUGUCUGGAGCAUUAUCAUGGUCUGAAUCCUCCUGUAAUCUUGCUUUGAAAUCCACCAUUUUUGACUUCUGAAGCCCCAAUUGAAAAGGUAGAUACAAGUUAUCAUUUCAAGCAAACAAGCUAUCACACUCUUCACCUUGUUCCACUGAUCAAAUGCCCUCUUCUAACUGGGAUUUAUCUGUUGAUUUAGUCAUUUAAUUUUACUUUGACGAACUACGAUUCUUCACGAGUUUGAGCGAAUUCUCCCUGCUUAAAGCAAAUCAAUUGCUCUAAUGUAGGGAGACAUGAACGAUUAGGUAUUUAGCAACUGAAUCGAUGCUUAAUUCAUGUUAAAAACAUGAGUUCAUGAAGUUGCAAAAUCAAAAAUCUGAAGGUUGAAGAUGAAGUCCUUCGCGUGCUUCCAUGCCGAAUUCAAAUUCUCCCUCCAAUUAGAAAACAACGCGUGUCCUAGUCGUUGUUUUAAAAUUAUUUUCUUUUUAACUCAUUUAUUUUACUUUUCUUCCAAAAUUAAUUUUAAAUAGCUCCUUUAUUAUUUUUUGUCCAUAAUUUCAUAAAAAAUAUGUUCUACGACAUAUAAUUUUUCCACAUUUUUUAAAACUCUUUUUGCAUUUAAUUAAUAUUUUCUCUUGUUUUUCAUUUAUUUUUACUUUAACAUUUUUAUUUUAAUCAUUUUAAAGCAAUUUGGAUCCCAACUUUUGAGGUCAAGUCUCUCAUAACUUUGUUGAUCUCUAAUAUUUUUCUUUGACUUUUAUUUGAUUUUUUAAACCCUCUUUGAUAUUUUAUCUUUUAUUUUCUUUUAUUAUUCAUUAUUAAAUCAUUUUUAUCAUUUUUAUUUUAUUUUUGAUAUUCACUUGAUGAUUUGAAUUGAGUUGAUUGCUUGGUUGAUGAUUUCUUCCACAUAAUCUUCUUUGAUCUGAAACUGUUGAUAGAUGAUCAUAAAUCAUCUUCAAUACUUUGCAUCAAUGAUAGGUUAACCCUCGAUGCGCCAUAUUUUAGGUCCUUUGAUUUGUGGAUAGGAUGAUCCCUAUGUGAUUGCCUUGAUUUUCCAUUUCACCCUUUCUACUUUCAUCUUUUCUCUUCUUUUUUAUCAUUGUGUGACAUGUUUCUUGAGAUUAACUUUGUGUUAUUUCUAUAACUUGUCUGACACAAACAUUGUUAUUGAUCGACCUCAUAUAGGUAUGGCUUCUACAUAAGCCUACUUACAAUUGUUUAACAUUGUGUUGAAUUGUCAUGACACAAUUAAUCGACCAUUAACUCCUAACAUUAAUUUAUGCUCUUUACAUUAUUUCUAUUUUAAUUCUUUCCAUUUAGUUUAUGUCAUUUUAAUUUAUGUUAUUUACUUAAUUCACUUUAAUUUCAUGUCCCAUCAAUCAUCAUAUCACUUCAUACUCUAUUCAUAUUGCCUUAUUCAUCUAUUCUUAUCUUAUUUGAUUGGUCUGCUUGUUAGUCUUAAUGAACCAAAACAUGAUAAAGCAACCUGGACUUAAUCUUAACCAUAUGUUUGACUUGGAGAGUUGAAGACCUCUUGGACUAUGGACUUUAACUUAGGUUUAGGCCCUUUGCUUGACUUGGAGUGACCUGGACCCAUGGACCUUGUGAACACUUUGACUUGCUUUGCUCUUGUUGAACUUUUGAGUUUGUGGUCUUAUUCAUCUGUCUUAUCCAUCUUCUUUAUGCCACUUGCAUCCAUCUGCUUAGGUUUAGAACACUUUUUACACACACAUGGCUUUCUCCUGGGCUACUUAAUAAUGAGACAUAGGAUAAUACACUUUGCACCCACAUGGCUUUCUCUUGGGCUACCUAACAAUGAGACAUUAGGCUAGUUUUAUAUGAUCAUGCAUAUUUGUUUGUUCAUCAAUCCCUUUCCUAUGAUUUGGCUUGAUCAAAUUCUCAUUUGAUCAACUAGACCAUUCCACUUGUUACACUUCCUCUUUGUCUUUGUCAAGUGACCAUAAGUCCCUUGGCCACUUGAUGAGACUUGUCUCUAUCACUUUGGAGCCUCAACCUCUCAACAAGUUCAAUACUCCUAAUGGAUUAUAGAUCUCCUCAGCAGAUCACAAUCGUAUGACUCAUCCCCACAAGCAAUCUUUGGGAACCUUCAUCAACAACUUGUCAGUCUUUGACUAGACUUGCAUGGCAUGAUCCUUAAGCAAUAGAAAAUGAUGACCCUCUAUGCAUAGAAUGUAGACCCUAGCUGCGUGGAGUAUUUGUUUCUAUUCAUAGACUUUAGUGUAAUUCCAGUCAAUCCACUAUCAAGUCUGCGACUAGCCUUGUGGCUCCUUUUUCUCUUCUUUUAGUUUAAACACCAUUGUAAUCACCUUACUAGAGACAUCACCUUUCAUGGUUAACCUCCUAUCCUUUUCUAUGGGAUACAACUUCAUGGUCAUUUCCCAUAUUUUGGUUUAAAUACCAUUAUAAUCACCUUUCUAGGGACAUCACCUUUCAUGGUUAACCCCAUAUCCUUUUCUUUAGGAUACACCUUCAUGGUCAUUCCCCAUAUUUUGGUUCAAACACCAUUGUAAUCACCUUUCUAGGGAUAUCACCUUCAUGGUUAACCCCCUUUCUUAGUUUUGACACCACAAUUCAGGGACACACCAUUCAUGGUUAACCCCUUUCUCUUGGUUUUAACACCAUUCCUUUACCAUGUGAGACCUAGUGCUUUGGCGAGACCCUUCUAAUAUCAGUCUCUUACCUUGACAAGUUCCUAGUUUUUCUUCCUUACCAUGUGAGACCCGGUGCUUUGGUAAGACCUUUGUCAUAUCAGUCUCUGUGCCUUGACAAGUUCCUAUUUUUUAUUCCUUACCAUGUGAGACCCGAUGUUUUGGUAAGACCCUUGUCAUAUCAGUCCCCGUGCCUUGACAAGUUCCUAUUUUAUCUUCCUUACCAUGUGAGACCCAAUGAUUUGGUAAGACCCAUGUCAUGUUAGACCCAGUGCUUUGGCAAGUUCCUACUUUCUUUACUUACCAUGUCUGGCCCCCGUGCUUUGGUAAGCCUUUUAUUUCCGGUUUAAACACCACCCUUAAUCAUAUCUCUUUCUCGGUCUUUGUCUUACGAACUACGGAGCUCUGAAUUCCUAAUUAUACUAUGAGGGUACGUAGGCACGAGGAUACGAAUCCUUGGCGAGCACUUUAUUUUAUUGUCUUUGUCUUCUCCAGUUCUUCGAACUACGAGGAUCUGACUUUCUCAUUGCACCAUGAGAAUACGUAGGCAUGAGGGCACCAAUCCUCCUCAAGUACCUUUUUUCUAACCUUUUUCUGUUUUGCAGGUACAUGAAGAUAUCAACACCCAUCCAAGCAAGAGCAUUCAAAAAAGUUCUCGUGGAGUACCAUAGAUGUGAGGGGUGCUAAUAUCUGCUCCUUGCAUAACUGACUUCCUUACCCAUUUCUCUAUUUCCCCUUGAGUUUUAUCGAUAUUUUCUCUUUCCUCUUUUAAGAUAAAUAAAGUUCAGUGGAGACUCUGUUGUACCUUCAAGCAUGUAAUGCAUUCGGUGGGCAUAUUUAAGCUAGCUUCACUAUCAUAUAAUAAACAUCCUUUAAUGAAGCUCUUCUAGACACAAAUUCUAUGGAUGGUUAAAAUGUGAUUCUGGGAUACAUGAUUUUGAACCAGUUAGCCUUCUCAAGUUAGAAGGUUAUUUGGUUCAGAAGGUCCGAAGUCAUAAUCUUCUAGAACUUUAUAUCUUAUGAACUCUGAUAUAUAUUAAUGAUUAAAAUCAGACGCUAUUUUUGUGGCUAAGAAGUGAGACAGUUGUCCAAAUUAUUGCAGCUGUCAAAAAUACUUAAAUGACCUUUUGGUGCCCUCAUUCCCCCGAUGUCACUAAGUCGCGUAUUUUCAAAAAUGUUCUUUAAUUAAACCAUUUUUUCUUUAAACUCACUUCCACUCACAUAUCACACACGUUGCUACAUUCACAGACCACACUUUAAACUUUUUAGUUCUCACAAAAACUUGUAUUCUCUCAAACCUGCAAACGCUAACUCUGAAAUGUAUGAUCAUGAAAGUACCUCUAAUAUGAAUGAAAACUUUCCAGAAAUUACGUUAUCAACAUUGGUUGUUAACCUAGAAAUUCUUUGUGAAUCAAUCAUGGAAUUUGAUAAUUUGAAGUUCAACGGGUUUGAUCUCACUAGAGAUGUCACUACUCAAGGUUGGGAAUAUUUCUUUAAUCGUCUCAAAGGACCAAUAUAUCCUUCUUUGGUGAAGGAUUUUUGGAUUCAUGAUAAAACUAACAACCUUGUGAUUUCAUCGUUCGUUCUAGGAAGGAAAAUUUCCAUUAUAGAAUAGUCUAUUAUAAAGCUGCUUGGUCAUAAUGGUUCUGGAAGGAGAUGCUACAACAUGUCUUUGAAUGGAGAAAGAGUCAAAGAGGUAGUUUCCACUAUUUUCAAAACAUAUAUUAAAAGGUCAACCAAAGUUAAAGAUCACUGGCCAAAUUAGAGGAUUUGGACAAAAAUCAUCUUGGCAUGCAUUCAUCACAUACCCUAGAGAAACUCACCCGAGUACAUAAACUAGGACUAGAAGUUCAUGCUCUACUAGUUGGAAACAGGAACGAAGAUGAAUCUUCCCUCUAUUAUUUUCAAAUAUCUUUGAGAAAUUAUUAGGCAGACAAGAGAUGGUGGCUCUAAACCCAUAAAAUGGAUUCCCAUUGGGAGAUUAAUUUCUAAUGUGUUGAUGGAAAAGAUCUAGUAGAUUUACGACUUACUGGGGAUCUUCGGACUGAUGUUGGAAAAUUAUUCAAUGAUAAAAAUAUAAAGAAUAUGCGUAUGAUAAAUGUUGUUCUAGAUUUUGAAGAAAUGGAUAAGGAAGUUAUAGCUGCCAAAAGGGUGGAAGUAGCUGAUUAUUCUUCGUUCACCAAGCAGGAUCCUUUAGAAGUUAUUUUAUCUUAUCUCAGUAGUUGUAGGGAUGAGGGGUAGACCCUUUGUUCGACCCUACCAAUUUUCCUGACACUCUUUGCAAACGAAAAAGGAAAACCAAGAAGACUCAACCAUCUGUGGAAGUGACUACCAUAAAGGUAUCUCCUAAGUCUUCUCUGCAAAUAGCGUCUCCUUCUCCAUAUGCAUCAAAGCAAGCUAAGAGUAUUGAUUCACAUAGAAUAUUGUUGAGUUUCCAGGAUGGUGAUGAAGAUGAAGAAGAAAACUUUCACACUAAUACAACUUGUGUUGAUUCAACUCUUCCCCAAAAUCUGAGUAAGUCUAUAUUUGUUGAGACUCGUGCUACAUAUAGUUUUGGUUCUGCUAACACUUCAUCUUCUCCUUUUCCCACCAUUAUCCCUCUUCAAUCACUCUCUAUCUUUUCAACCUUUGGCAUCAUUUCCAAACCACCCCCUAAAAAAUCUAACAAACCAAUUCACAUAACACCAUCAUCUUCACCAUCUGACCAAACAAAGCCCGUUAAUCAAACUCUCUAUGUGAUCUCCUAUGUACAUGCUUCAUUAACUCCUCCUUAAAAAACCAAUCCUUCAUCUCAAACUAACUCUGAAACUUUCACUAGUUUGUGAAAAGUUACAUGUUCAUAAUACUCACAACCAAACAACUUUGCCUCCUUUCUCCAGAAAUUAUUAUACCCUCACCUGGCUCUGAACUUGAACCCAUCGAUGAGACCUUUAUGUCUUUUUACAUUCCUUUCUCUAGUGGCCAACAACCUAUUUUUAACCAGGCAUUUCUCCUAACAAAUGUUUAUGCGAAUGAUCCACCCAGACAUUCCUUUGAUGAAGUAUUGAUAAAAGUGGAAGCACAGAUAGUAGAAAGUCUCCACUUUAUAAAGCAGGUUAUCACUGAGUGUGUAAAUCCUACUGAGAGUGAUGCAUUUUGGCACCAAUACAGACUAUGGGGUGUCUAUUAUACCAAUUUCCUCAAAGAAUUAUCUUAUGGUAUGGUGCUCAAGAAUUUCCCAGAUCCAUUCUCUAUAAUUAUGACUCAAAUCAUCUCAAGGCUCUUAACUAUGAUCAAGCUUCAAAUCAUCUCAAAUACGAAGCCAAUGAUUUAGAGAAUAAUGUUGAAAGAAUAUUCUAGGAGAUAGUACAUUCAGGCGGAAAAAUCAAAUGUUUCCUUAAAAGGACAAAUAUGCUGGAAUUAUUAAGGAAUGUACUAUCAACGGAUCUCCACAAUUCACGACUCAACCUCGUACCAUUAUUACAACUAUGAAUUUGAAGAUAUUUCCAAUUCCAUCCUCCAAUGAUACUAUUCAUCAUCUAUUUAAAAAGGACAAAGAGUUUUGAAGAGAUACACGUGAAGAAUAAGAAUAACAACGAAGUGAGUAAAAAGAAGAAAAACAACAAUUACAACACUCACUACACUUAGAGCUUUUACUUGUAUACUUUCUUAAGUGUAAACUCUAAAAUUCAUCUUAUGUAUCUUCUUAUUUAGAAGUAUUAUUAUAAACACACACAUUGUAUUUUAACUUUGGUUAAAUUUCCUGAGGGACUAAGUUUAGUCUCUAGCCUCGAGAAGUCAUUGGCAUUUGGUUUUUCAGUUUGUAAUUUGUUUGAUUAGUGAAUUAAGUUCUUGUGAGAAGGAGGAAUGACUUUGACGAGUGGCUUGGAUUAGCUUAGUUAACAGUGAACUAAAAUCUUGUGUAUUUCUAUCAUUGUGGUUCUUGUCAUUGGUUUUUAAAAAGUUGUCAUAUUUGAAAACCAAUUCACCCCCCCCCCCCCCCUUUCUUGUGUUUCUUGAACUUUCACAUGUAUCAUUUGUAAUUUGUUUUAUAUCUCAUUUUGACUUGUUUGUAUCAUUUUUGACAGAAUCAUAUCAUUUUAUUUUAUGAAGAAUAUAAAAACAGAAUAUCAAAUUUACAUUGUUUAGAAAACGAAAUGUACACAUAUCCAAAAUGGUACACAAAGAGAACUUAUACAUAUUUGAAAACAUAAUCAUAUAAUGCUUAUAAUACCUAUAAUGACAUUUAGGAUACCUCUACCAAGAGAACCUAUACAUAUUUGAACCUAAAAAUAUUUUUCACCUAUAAUGACAAAAACAUAUAUACAAUGCUUACAACAACCAAGAAAAAAUAGCUUUGUUCAGAUUCACAAUAAGAUAGGAAGGCACCAGUCCAACGUGAUCAGGUGUCGUCUAUAUCAUUUUGUGACAAUGGUGUUUUGUUGCUAAAUGCCUAUAAUUUGAGAAAAAAUUAAAUUACGAUAAGCUAACAACAACAACAGUAACUUAAAAAAUAUAAAUAAAUUACAUAUAUAUGGAUAAAGUUAAUACCUUAAUCAAUGAACUGACAAUACCUCCGGAGACAAUACUUAACAUAUGUCUCAUAACAUAGUAUCCACAAGCUAAGUUGUCGUGUUGUUUUUCGCGACUACAAAUAAUUUUCAUAUAGUUACUACUUAAUACACACAAAGCACAAGGAAUACAUUAGUGAAAAUAUAAGAAUUUCAAAAACCACAAGUAAUACUUACUUUUAGGGAAAGGAACAUUGAUUUUUUAUCUUGUAGAUUAUGUUUCACAAAAUUGUAUCUCUUCAUAGCUCUAUUGAAAAUUCUUUUUAAUAGUGCUUUUUAAUAUCACUAAAUUAAUACGUGCUUUUUAAUAUCACUAAAUUAAUACGUGCUUUUUGAUAAAACGCUAUUGAAAAUGUCACACAGUGACUUAUAAAAGUGCUUUUUGAUAAAACGCUAUUGAAAAUGUCACACAGUGACUUAUAAAAGUGCUUUUAUGUUUGGUGAUAUUUUGAGUGUCACCAUUUAAUAUCACUUUUCCUUUAAACGUUAUUACAGGUUGCUAGAAUAAAAAUUCAGAACUAAAGGUAAAAACUAAACAUGAAUAAAAAAAUAUUCAAAACUAAAUGUAAAAUUAGAGUAUUAAAAAUAAUACAACUUACCCGUUGAAAAAAUCAUGCAUCUUUUUACAAAGUUUAUAGUAUAACAAGCAUAACAUAACUACAACAUUUUACUUCAGACAUAUAAUAACUAGUUGGCAAUGUGAACUAUAUAAACAUUCAAAAUAAUUAGUAAUGUGUAUAAAUUGAUUUAUAAAAGAAAACACAAAUUAUUAUAUACUUACGCGUGGUAAAAAAAUCCCAUAUAACAUUCUUUAUUCUCAUUAACCAACUUAUUUUGUAUGUACAUCUUGAUAAUGGAUCUAAGAAACAAUACUUUCUUAAUUUCAUUUCAACAAACAUCUCAUGCAUGAACCCAAUUAAAAGUUAAUGCAAAAGUAAAAUCUUUAUGUUAAAGUAUGAGAACAAUGAAUAUAAAUUGAAAUCAUCGUGAAAAUUAUACUGAUGAGCACCACAAUUAUAGUACAAUUAUGUUCAGUUAAUCAUCUUCCUUCAAAAAUUCCAUAAUACAAAUCUUAGGAAGUAUAUAAGCUUAUUAUGGUUCAUAUUUUAAAGUAAUAAACUCGCUGAUGUAUGAAAUCUGCACUUUCAUUCUUGAUAGUCUCUGAGUGUUAUCUAGUUGAGGUGGUGUGGUCUCAAUAUUAUGCUGCGGGGCAGAACAACUAUCUUUCGUGCUUGCACCAUCCAUAACAACUUUCCCGACUACUUUCUCAAGUAAGUCUAACUGAUCUAAAAUUAGUUGGUGGAGUACACUCAUUGAUUUCAAUUAGUGCAUCAUAAAAAUAAUUGAAAUACAAUACAAAAAUUAAAAUAUACAAACAAUAACAACAACAUACAACACAAAUUUUUUAACAUAUACUUAUACCUCAAUCAAAUCGUAGGUACACUUCUUCCACACAUCCUUAGAAAACUUCUCUCACUCCUCCUCAGUCAAUCUCUCACGCUCCUCCUGAACCCUCUCUAGAACCUCCUGCAACAUCCUCUCUUGCUCCUCCUACAACAUCCUCUCUCGCUCCUCCAGACACUACUAUAAAAUAUACAUUUGGUAACACUAAAUUACAAUGGUCUGUCAGUUAAUUGUGGUAAUACCUCAUUUUUGCACGCUUUUUAUUUUAUUUUGAUAUUUCCGAAAAGACAUUGCAUUACGGUCAAAAUAAUUAACUGUGAUUAAACAUUGUGGAUUGACAGGGUUCAAAUCUCAGCUCCAACAAUUUUGUUCUCUUAUAUAUAUAUAUUAUAUAAAUAUAAUAUAUAUAUAUAUAUAUAUAUAUAUAUAUAUAUAUAUAUAUAUAUAUAUAUAUUAUAAUAUAAAAUAUAUUAAUAUAUAUAAUAUAUUAUUUAUAUUAUAUAUAUAUAUAUUAUAUUAUAUAUUAUAUAUAUAAUAUAUAUAUGUUUUUUUAAAAUAAAUAUAUAUAUAUGUUAAAAUAACUAUCACCACGGUUAUUAAUGUCAACUGUUGUGAAAGGAAUUACAUUUCAUCACGAUUUUGAAUACGACUAUGGUGAAAUAGUUUACCCAUAUAUAAACGAAUUAGCUCUCGCUUCUUGACAGUAUCACCGUAUCUCUCACAACAAAACCCUAGCAUACAUUUUCUCUCUUCUUCUUCGCCAUUAGUUUUUUUAUUCUACAGUAUAACCUCAAUCUUGUUAUUCAUACAUAAAUGUGUUCUUCUUCUUCCUUAUUCUCUCGUUUUCAUGUAUGUAGUUGUUAUGUUUACAUGAUUCACACAUGAUUUUCUUCUUGUUCAAGAUUUUGUGGGUUUUUUUUUGUUGUUCUAUGUUGUUGUAGUUGUUGUUGUUGAGAAAUAUAGAUAAAUGUUAGUUGACAUAAUUUUCAUAUUAUUUACUUCGGUUUCUCAUGUUUUGUUGUUGGUUGUUGUUGACAAAUCUUUUUCCAUAUUCUCUCUUAUUCGUGUAUGUUGUUGUUAUGUUGAUGUUAUUAUUAUGUAUAUUGAUAAUUUUUUGUUAGAUUAUAAUGUACUGCUAGUUUAUGUUAACAUGUUAUUUUUUCAUGGUGUUUGUAGGAUUACGAUUGAUUUGUGUUGAUAUGAAGAAAAAAUAUAAGAGAGGAUAAAACUGAAGUGAAAGAUGCAAAAUUGUGUGAUAAACCUAGAAUGACAUCCAUUAAAGUUUAAUAAAAGUUUGCAGCUUUCUCCUUAAUUUCAUAGUGGUUUGUCUUAAUUUCCCAUGAAUUUUUUCAAUUAAAGGUAUGUAUGUGUUGAUAAAUGUUUUUGUAUGUUGUUGAUGUUGUUAUUGAUUUGGUUUUGUGUUGUGUUGUUUGUUGAUAAAUUGUUUUUUAUGUGCAGCUAGCAAGUGAAUAUGGUUCUUUACUUAUCACUGAUGCAACUGGUUGUGUGAACAUGGAUCUAAGAGAGUUAUGAACUUGUGUUCACAGUGAAAAUAUUAUAUGAGUCUUUCAUAUAAUAUUCCCACAGUGAACACGUAUUUUCUACCCUCUUUUCUACUUUAUCCUCUCCAUAGCUUGCAGGAUAAGUUAGUUAUCAAGUUCUCCUAAUCUAUGUUAAUUAAUUGAUGUUUUUGUUGAUAAAUAUUGUUAGCGAGUUUGUUAUAUCAUAUGUGAUUUCUAGUUUCACUAACCCCUCAUUGAACUUGCAUUCAUUUAAGUAGAUUUUUGAGAUAUUAAUUAGAAAAAAUUAUUCUUGAAAAUCAACUUAGAUGAUCUAAUGUUUAUCGAAUUGCAUUCAUCUUAUAAUUCAUGAUUUUCUCUUUAGCCUAUAGAAUUUGAUUCAAUGCCACAAAUUCUCCAAAACAAUGAUGAUAGAUGGAUGUUAUUUUGAGUCUUUCACACAAAAUUUGAUGUUUGUAAAAGAAACUAGAAAAAAAAAGAGGAAAUCAAAUUUUAUGUGAAAGACUUAGAAGACAUCCAUUCAUCAUCAUUACUUUGAAGAAUUUGGUAUUGAAUGAAAUUAUAUGGGUUAAUAAUGAAAUCAUGUAUUACAAGAUGCACACAAUUAGAAAAAUAUUGGACCGUUUAAGUUGUUUUUCAAGAAUAAUUUAAUUUUUCUGAUUAUUAUCUCAAAAAACUAUUUGAAUGGUUAUAUAUGGUUAAUGAGGGGCAGGAAAAAAACACGCAAUCAUAUAUUUUAGAAUAAACUCUUACAUAUACCACCACGAUUGGAACAUAUAACCAUGGUAAAAUGUUAUUUUUAUGCGCUUUAAUUUGGUUGCAGCUGGCUAUCGAACACAUGACUCUAAAUUUAUGACAAUAAUUAUUUACUUCAACAGUUGUGAUAAGUAGCAUUCUACAUAGUUUAUCACAACGGUUGCACGCCUGUGGUUGAAAACAAAGAACUUACAAGACCAUAGACACACCCAACUAUUGAAAGCAAAGAACUAUGUCUUCAAUUUAUCUCAUACGCUUUACUUUGUUAAUUUAUUGUGAUGGCCUCUUCCAAGACCAUAGACACGCCUAACAUGCUCCUCGGUUCCAAUCGUUUCUACAAAGAAGUCAUGAAGAUCUCAUGGAACGAAGAUAACAACUUUGGAAUGUUCAACCAGUACAUCCAACAACACAUAUAAAAGUUCAUCUUUACCAAAUUUAAUAGACUAAAAUAAGUUUUGUUGAACAAAGUAUCUACUUACAAUAUUUUCAGCCACUUCGCUUGAAGCCUCGGAUCUGAACUUACCACCUGGUCUUUAAAGUUCCUUAUUCCAUUUCUCAUGGCGUGAUUAUGGAGAUGGAGUGUGAUCAAGGCUUCUAAAAGGAUCUCCCAUCUCUAGUUCCCUUUAUUUUCUUUUUUCAUUAAUCAUUUUAUGUUCAAGCUUAUCAUAUCAUCUAUGAGACAUUCUAUGUGGAUAUUUUUGCUAGCUAUAUUCUCCUUUCCUUUUUGGCUUUUAUCCAAGAAAUCAAGAGUGGUGUCAUACUUUACAAAAUCCUCCUAAAUAUUCUUAUCAAUAAAUGGAUACUUCACGUAUGGAGGAUCUGAGUUAUUGAUCGGAAAAAUAGCAAGUGUACUAUUUUGCCUUUUGUAGUAAUAAAGGGGAAAUUCCCCGAAUGGUGAUCUCAAGGACUGCACACUAAUACCAAGUUCAAAUAAUCGUUCAAUUAAACAAAAACUAGUGUUUUGGGGUUUUGUAUUCAGAUUUAUGAAAAUAAGGGAAAAUAAAAUAAACACUGUAAAAUAAGGGUUUCAAGGAAAAAAGGAACAUGCCAGGGAAGGUGCAUAAUUUGUCCCUGUAACAACUCUGAGUCACUAUUGCAUCAACAAAUAUCAAUUAACUACUACCAGUUCUCAAGGGUAUUUUUUCCCAAGUCCUUGGUGAUAGAACCUUUAAUCAUUUUAUCUUAAUCUCUAUGUCCAUAGAAAAUUACCAGUGAAAUUAAGCCUUAUUAUAUCAAGAAUCUUCUGGUUCAUACAGGGUAUCCUUGGUCCUAGGUGAUAUCUACUGCAUAUUAAUCUUAUGAAAACCUUAUCAAUGUCGGUCCAACCUAAUUGAUAACCAUACAAAAAUCUCAAUUGAUCUGAAAGAGAAAGAAUUAAACACAUCAAAAUAUUACCGUAAUUAUGAAAAAACAAUAUUAUCAAUGCAAUCAUAAACUCAAAGUCACUACAGAUCUAAAUUAGGGACACCCCCUAGAAUUGGGGGGUUUAUCUACUCAUAUUGUUCAAAACAGAUUCAAGAUAAAAAUUAGACAUUACAAGUAAUUGGAUGACUUGGAUAUUCAAUUGCUUACGCUCAUGAAAAUCUUCCGCUCUCUGAAUUCCUUGAUCUCUAUAAUUCUUGAUCGACUGACAAUUCUCUAUGCUCUGUUUUAUCCUUGCUCCCAAGUCUCCUCCUUCUCUCUUAGAAACUCUCCUAAAAUAGUGAAAGUCCCUUGGCAUUGGUUGGAAAUCCCCAUAACGUCCUUGCUGCUCAAGCGGGGGUAAAAAGCCUAAAAAUUGGAACAUUUUGCGGCUGGGAUGAAACGGGUGGCCGUGUUAGGCCUCUGCCUUGAUCCUCAUCUUCAACUUUAUCCUAGUGGAGCUGACACGAGUGGCCGUGUCAGGCCCCUGUCUUGGCCAUCUCUUGCAACUUUCUUUUCCUUCAUCCUGACACGGCCCGUGUCAGGUGACACGGGUGGUCGUGUCAGGCCUCCUGUACUGAGAAAUAUCCUUUCCUCGAAUGCCGGAACCCUCGACUUUCUUGCAUUGAGUCUGUUGGAUCUUCUACUUGGACCUGGAGGGAAUAAACACGGACAACCAAAGCAUAAAAUCCCGAAAACACGAAAUAAAACUAAAAAUUGAUAAAAUACUUUACAAAAAUGAAAACCGACUUAAAAGGUGACAUAAUGCGCACAAAGUAUUUAAGAAUUCUUGGUUUCUUGUCGAAUAAGUGAUGAAAACAUAGUGAAAAUGGUGAUCGAUCACAACCCCAAACUUAACUCAUUGCUUAUCCUCAAGUAAUGUUCUAAAUGAUAGAGUGUGUCACUUCCCAAAACUGAAUUUUUUUUACCACAAUAUUGUUGAGAUCUUUCGCCACACGCCUUCAUUAUCCCUUUCAUAGUCCAUGUUUUUCUUAAUUAUUUUUACGUCGCACUUCCACAUUGACGUACUUCUUCACCUGUCAUCUUAUAUCACACUCUCAACAAGUCUCUUCGGGUUAAAGUGUUUACACUCACAUUUCAGAAUAUGCAAUAUCGACUUAUAAAUUUGAAUAAUUUCUCCGUUCGUAUCAACUACACACAACACACACUUUUUGAGGUCUUUCGGGUUGUAACGAGGCUUUGGUUACUGUGGGGUAAAUACAAACAAAAGGGGAAACAAGUGGUUUGGGUUCAGAUUCAAUGUCAUUAUUCUUUUCACUGUGUUUGUUCUACAUCUCAUUUCUAAUUCUUUUCUUUUUCAGUUUUUUUACACAAUUCUCUUUUUUCUUCUUCAUCUUUUUAUACCCAACUGAGUGUUUCUCAUUCGGUUAAUGAUUUUCUCGUUCCAUCAAAUUUCUUUUUUUUUCGAUGGUCGUUUUUCUUAAUCUUUUUCCGCACUCACCUUACUUUAAGAUACUUAUGGGGUUACCCCAAACUUAGAAUUUAACACAGCUUAAAGAACAUAACAUUUUCUCUGAAUAUGGUAAGGAAGUGUUUGGACCGCGGGUUACAUUCAUGUAGUUAUACAUACAAACAAAGGGUACAUGCUCAAACGGGGUUAACAAGGGAUAAUAUUAAAGGGAUGGCUAGAAUGGCUCAGGGCUAUUAUUCAAACAACGUGCCUCAGUGUGUGUAUAUAUGUAGUGAUAUUCCCAAAGAACAUAUGAAAAUUUAGAGUGAUAAAGACAUACCUGAAUAUCGCUCAUGAUGACAAACGUGUUUGUCUUUUUAUGUGCUCACCAUAUUAGGUAAAACUUGACAGAAUCCACAGUACUUCUAGCAUGGUGUGGCUUCUUACUCAACUCGGAAUGCACAGGGAACCUAUGUUAGUCGAUCUUAAGACAGUAGCGUCCAAUCUUUUUCUUCAGCAGUACCAAUUUUUCGAGAAGAUCUUUUAACAACAAGCAACCGUAAGUGGAAGGAUCAUUUCAUCCACUACCACUAAUGGUCACCACCUAAUCCAACAAUAACACUAAAAACCUAAAAUACAUGCAGCAAAUGAUACCUAACAGUAAAGACAAACCAAAUGUAAGCAGUAAACAAAAUGGGAAAUAAUUAAAAUUAAAACAUAAAAAAAGCAUAAAUUAAACCUCCCCCACACUUGAACUAAACAUUGUCCUCAAUGUUUUAGAACAAGAUAGAAGGAGGGUGACUCACAGUGCCAUACUGAGGAGGUUGGGGAGGAAAGUGAAACAUCAAUUGUCACAUCAUCAGGUUCAUUUCAUCCAAAACCGCCCCUUGCCGAUCCUACUCGAUGCCUUGUCUUGAUUUCUUGGUUCUAAGGUCACCGAGCUUGGUUUGUACUCAUGCCCACUAGUCGUGAUUCAUGGAUGAUGGCCUAGUGCCCUGCUGGGCUGGCUCUUGGGGUGGGGUACAAACGGUUCAUGAUGCUGCUUGUUUUCCUGCAUUUGUUCAGCCGCAACCAAAUUUUUAGCAUCGUAGCCUUCCUCUGUAUCAGGGUCAGCACUAAUAUAUAACCAAUUAGCACAAUCAACAAUACUUACUCUGUCAGGAUUAGGUAGUGCAAUGAUAAACCUUUUAUGAAUCAGAACAGAGUAGUAAUUAUGUGCAACAGAAAUCAUACCUUGUUGGUUGAGAGCUGUCAUAUCUAUUUUUGUCUUACCUGCCAUAGGGUUUUCUUCAAGCAAGGUUUUUGUUAAGUGAAUGACGAUGAAACGAGGAGAGUUGAUAGGUAAAUGAUAAUUUGGAGUCUAAUUCUAUGAAGUAUUCAAGCAAAAUAACAUACAUGUCGAUUUUUAGGAAAAACUGAGGGAACAAAUUAAUUUAAAAAUUUAAAAAAUAAUAUAAAAGCAUCAUAUUCCUGUAAUUCAUGUAAAAGAACUAUCACGUUGAUUUUAGACAAAACUGAGGGAGUGGAUUAUUUAAUAAUUAAAAAUAAUAUAAAAAAUAAUAAAAAUACAUUUGAAAAUAUUAAUUUGAAAAUAUUGAUGCAAAGGAUAUUACCCCUUAGUUUGGCCAUGUAACUGAGGGAUAAUACAAAGUAAAAAUAAAAAAACUUAAUAAAAAAAGGCAUUUGAAAAUAUUAACUUCAUAAUUUAAAAUAAGUAGAAAAAGGGAAAAGGGAAAGGUGUCAAGUGAGAAAUAGUGACGCUAAAUCAAUUGGAAAAAAAAUAAGGCUUAAAUAGUCUUUUGGUCCCUGUAAGUUGACGUAUUUUUUAUUUUCGUCCAUGAUACUUUUUUUUCCUGAAAAUAAUCCAUGAAUAUUAAAAUGAUUUUGAUUUUAGUCCCUUAAGUUAAAAUCCGCAGGAAUCUUGCAGAUUUUAAUUUUAGAGACUAAAAGCAAAUGAAAUUCAACAUAUAAGGACUUUAUUCACACAAAAAAGAUAUGUGGACGAAAAACAAAAACACACCAACUUACAGGAUCAAAAGACUAUAUAAGCCAAAAAAUAAUAACAUAAAAUGCAGUAUCUGGGAUUCUAAGCGAGGUCUUUGGUUAUUAGAUUCCAUGGGUUUUGCCCGAAAUCAAGGGUAUAAGUUCUAUAUUUUAAUAAAACAUGGCGCUAUCAGGACAUAUACCUCGAUUUUUGAUUGGUCGAUGGAAAAGCUUUGUCAUAAAAUAUAUAAAUUGUAGUAGUGUGUAAUUUUGUAGUGCGGGUUUGGAGGAGAAUUGUGUCUUGGCUCAAGGUGGAUGUAGCAUAAGCAAAUUCGGGUAAGCAACAUUUCUGGAAAAGCAUGAAGUUAAUGAAGGAUGAUAUACCAUUUAUGACUGUGGUAGAUAUGGAGGAGUAAGUGGAUAUGGAGGUGUUUAUUAUCAAGGACAAGAUGGUGUAGAAAAGGAAGAAGACGAGGAUAAUUAAAAUGUUUGAAUAUGAAUCUUUUUAUUUUUAAAUUUAACUUUGGUGGAUAUGGAGAUUAUUUAUUUUUAUUGCAACUUUAACCAUGAAAUAUUUAAUUUUAUAAUUUUAUUUAAAAUUUAAAAUUUAUUUAUUAUAAUAAUUAUUCAUUUAUUAUAAUUAUAUUAUUAUAUUUAUAGUAAUAUGGUUAUAAUAAUUUUAUAUACAAUAUUGCAAAUAUUAGUAACCCUGCAAAAAAUAUAAUCAGACUCACUUGCAUGGGAGUACCCCUCACAAAUACCAAAACGUGACAGUGCAUCGUAAGUGGUUUAACCCCUCGCAAAUUACUGACACACUGCACUACAAUGCAACACCUAUUAUGCGCCUACGCCUGCAUGUCUACGACAUGAAAAAUGGAUCGAAUUUUGCGAGUGGUUAACCCCCUGGAAAAUUAGCGAUACGGCUAUCCCUUAGCAAAAAGGUUGUGAUGACUUGUAUUUCGAGGUGAGUUGGCCCAUCGCAAAUAUUUGUUUUGUAAGGUUUUUUGUUUUGCACUUAUGAGGAGAUUAACACCGACAAAACAGUAUUUUUCUUAUAGUGGAUGAGAUUAUGUUUAAAAGAUCCGUAAGAGAAAAGGAGAAAGUUCUGGAUAAUAUUAAAUUAGGAUUUCAGUUUUGGUAUGUCGCUACGCAAGUCGAAUUUUUUUAAUUCAAUUUUUUAUUUGGUGUUCCAACUCGAUGGUAUAUUUUUAAAGUGGUUGAUUUUAUAUUAUGUUGGAUUUAUUAUUAUUAUUAUUAUUAUUAUUAUUAUUAUUAUUAUUAUUAUUAUUAUUAUUAUUAUUAUUAUUAUUAUUAUUAUUAUUAUUAUUAUUAUUAUUAUUAUUACUACUGAGGAUCAACUUACUUCAAGAAUAAGAUGUUUUUAACUUACUAUCAAUCAUACUCUUUAAAUUAAAUUUAAUCGAAUGAUUAAUUAAAAUAAAUAUUAAUUUAAUUCUUAGUUUAACUUCAAUUUUAAGAGUAAGUUAAAAAAACUUACUUUUGUAAUAAGUUGAAUUUCACAUUAUUAUUAUUAUUAUUAUUAUUAUUAUUAUUAUUAUUAUUAUUAUUAUUAUAUAUCUUAUAAAUUAAUACCCUUUAUACUCUAUAAAUAUCAUUUUUUUUUUUUUAAAUAAGGUUAUAGAUCUACUUGAAGAUAUGAAGUAAGUUUAUUAGUAUAUUGUUAGUUUAUGUUUUUUUUUUUCCAUAAAUAUCUUUAAAUAUAUUUAUUUAAUUCAGAACUUAUCAUUAAGAGGAUAUAAUACAUUGUACUUUAACUGGAGAGGAUCCAUCCCCGUACUUUAUGAGAUGACUUUGCUGUCAAGAUGCACUAAUUUAUAGAGAACCAUGACUCAUCACGUGAAAUAAAUGUUCAUUAACAUUGUUUAAUAUAUCUUAAUAACAAAUAGAUACGAAAAUGUUAUGUGUCCACUUACUUCAUUUAUAUCAUAUGACUUUUAGUUACUUUAGGUAUAUCUAACGCACCAUAUUAUUAAAUUAAAGGAUAGUAGAUAUGAAAUGUACCAAUGAUUGAUUUUAAAAAUAAUAACCAUAUUUAACAAGCUCCGGUUAAGAAACGAAAUUUUGGAAAAUAUUAAGUUUGAUUCUCAGUGAGAAUAAUGUUUAGCCAGAAUCAUGAUCUCACGACACGAGUUUUGAACUAUUAGAACCCCUUUUUUCUUGAAAACCAGAGAACGAAAGAAAAAAUAAAUAAAUAAUAAACUUAUGAUUAUGGCAAAUAUUAAAGUUAUAGACUACUCUGAUUUACUUAUAAAAAAAAAGACUACUCCAUGAAAAAAUAAUUGAAUAUACAUAUGGUAGACAAACUAAUUGGACAUGUAGAAUGUAUCUGAUUAUGCAAUAGUACAAAAUAGAAGAAUGGGAGGAAAUUAUGUCGAUUCAUUUAAGCAGCAUUGACAAAAUAACACAAAUCCCAUUAUCCAAGACACAUAAAACCCUAAUUGGAUGUUACUAUAAAAAGAUUUAUCGGAGGAAAUGAGAGGAGCUUAGCAUUUUUAAGGUAGAAGUGUUAGAAUUAAUUUAAUAAUUAAUUAUACAAGACAUAUUUAAAUACGAAUAUCAAAUAUAUAAUUAUAAUUUUAGACGAAAACAAAACAAAUAUAUAAGCAUGCAUAUACAUAACUUUGUGAUUUACGAUAUAUUGAUUUAUUAAGGAGUAUAGGAAUAUUUGGACGAAUUAAAGAAGAAAGUUUUGUAGGCACUGUUAAACAAUAAUCCUAAAAUGUAAAAAAAUGUAGAGACAAGUGACUAACACUUGUUGGCUUAUGGAUCUUCCUCAACCGAUACUUCUAAUGCCUCAAACAUUCUUCAUAUGGGGAGAAGGGAUAAUAUGUUUGUGUAUGGUAUAUUGGGGACCAUAAGUUAUAUAUAAGGUGAUGACCAAUUAGAGUUCUCAUUAUUCCGAAAUGGGUCAUCCUGACAUUCACUCAUAUUUUAGCCCAUAUUUAAUUAAUUAAUUAAUUAAUUAUUAAAUAGAAAUCUAAUUAACCUUUUAAAUUUAUUUGACCAUUUAAUCAACUAAGGCUCUUAAUUUGAUAAAUAACUAAUAUAAUUAAAAUAUAUAUGUCCACAUAAUAAUUAUUGGAAUAUAAUAAUUAAGUAUUAUUUAAAUUAUAAAAUAUUCCAACAAUCCCAUUUGGGCAAUAUAAUAUUAACAAUUAUAUCACAAUUCUUUAGGCGCGCAUAUGAAUGCUAUUUAUCUUUAGAUUUCAACUUUACAAUCUGGUCCACCUCAUACAUUAAUAAUGAGACCACCGCGUUUGUGUACGGUAUAUUGGGGAUCAUAGCUUAUAUAUAAAGUGAUGGCCAAUUAGGGUUCCCAUUAUUCCGAAAUGGGUCAUCCUGAAAUCCGCUCAUAUUUUAGCUCAUAUUCAAUUAAUUAGUUAAUUAAUUACUAAAUAGAAAUCUAAUUAGCCUUUCAAAUUUACUUGACCACUUAAUCAACUAAGACCAUUAAUUUGAUAAAUUACUAAUAUAAUUAAUAUAUAUAUAUAUGCCCACAUAAUAAUUAUUAGAAUAUAAUAAUUAAAUAUGAUUUAAAUUAUAAAAUAUUCCAACAAGAAACACUUAGAGAAAAUCAAUAAAGGAAGUGAGCUGAACAAAGUAGAGAUUCUUCUUCUCAUCAUUUCAAAUGUAUGCUAUCAGAAUCUUGUGUGACAGAAGACGUGACUAACGAUUGCAAGAAGACAAAGAAGUUACUCUUAGGAUGUUAUUUCUUUUUCACCAUCUAUUUGAGAAUGUUUAGCUUAGGAACCAGUAUUUACGUAUGUACUAAGCUCACCAUGAGCUAAAAUCUUUUAUGUUGAGAAAUGUGAAGUUAAUAUAAAGUAGUCUUUUAUGUUUAAUGAUGUGUUAUUAAUGCUUUAUUUUGUCAUCUGUUAAACUAUUAUAAAUAUGUUUCUUUGAAUGAUCAACUUAGGAAUAGAUACAAGCUUGUUCUUAUGAAAUCCAAUAACAAAUGUAUUUCAUGAUAAAAGUGAUUGAAAAUAGUAUGAUAUAUAUAUAUUCACUAUAUUAAUUAUUUUAAAGAUAAAGAGAUACAAUCACAAAGGAUAUUCAGAAGAAAACCAGGCAUGCACUAAAGUUACAAGUGAGGCUUAGAUAUUUGUCCCCUUGUUUUACUGUAUAUGUUUAUGAUGAUGUAGAGAUACACCACAAGAUCACUUUCUAACCUUUCCUAGCAUGACAUAACACAUCAUACACAUAGUUGGCAAGUUAUAUUAAUGGAACAUUGCCUAACAUGUUCUCUAUUAUUGAAUUCACUUUCUUGCUUAAAAUUGUUAUUGACUUUGUUUGCUACCGAACUGAAUAUGUGACAACCAUAAACUAUUUUUUAUCUUGCUCAUGCUCAUUUACAAAAGAUAGUCUUCACAAAAUCAAUCUAAGUUAUUUUCCACUCCUUGUGAAUUUGACAUCCUUACUAGUAUAUCACUUGCUACUUAAAACAUACAUGACAUCACACAUUUUCUACCCGUCAAUCAUGUGUAUUUGUUUUGUGGUGUUAUCUCUGAUUAAAGGGAGAUCCGCUAACGCCUUCACAUCAUUUGGUUUGCAAGUGUUUGGAUUUUAUGGAAAGAAUGAAACAAAAUGUUAUUUGGUCAAAAUGAAUUAUCACCUUCGUGGAUUUUAGGGCAAACCAAAACUACGAAUUAGUGGUGACUCAAUUCAAAAUAGAAAAACUUUUAGUGUGUCCGAAAUCAUAAGUGGUUCAUUCCUUUAAGUUGUUUUAAACACAUCAUCGAUUUAUGUGUUUUCUUUUCUUAUCUGAUUUCGCUUUUAGUUUUUGUCUAUUAUAAUAUGACUUUUCCUGAUUUUUAUCUUUGCACUCCAUAUAUUGAGAUAGACUCUUAUUUAAUAUAAUUUUUCUUUGACAUCAAAAAAAAUAUAUCCAUUGUAAAUAGCAUCCUCAUGAGUAAGAAGUUGGUUCAAUAUGGUACUAAUUGAAUAACAUAUUAGAAAAUCAAAUAUUAAUGUCCUAAAAAUUAUGUUCAACUUUUUAUACUCAAAGGAUAUUCAUUUUCUCUACUUUUGUUAAAUCAUAUUAACCACACUACAAAAAAUAACAUAUAUCACCUCAAACGCAAAAUGGAAUUUACCUCGGUUACACAGCCGAGGUAACGAAGGGUGACAUGAAAACUAGCCAGUUUAACCCUCGGUCAUUUAAAAAGUGCGGUUAUAAUAGAAAAUGUCAUUGGUUUGAUCUCUAGCAAAAACAUAUUUUAUAUUCAUAACUAUGGCGUACCACUUUACCUCUCAAUUUUAUAUAAAAUAUGAGGUAAUAAGUUAUGUUGGUACAUCAGUUUUAAUUAAUAAUUGAGUGGUUAAAUCUUAUCUAUUGCCAUAUAUAAUUUGUUUUAAAGCUCAUUUUGACUGGCUUGUAUCAUUUUUUACAUAGAAACAAAAUAAUGACGGAACUAGAAUCAGAUCAUUUUAAAUACACAAAUUAACAUUGUUCUCAUCGACACAUAAUACAAGAUUUACCUUGUUUUCAAAAUCAAAUGUAUAAAUUUAAAUUGUUCUCAUCAACACAGUUUACAAGAUUAAUAUUAUGUUCAAAAUCAAAUGUACAAAUUUAUAUCACUAAUACACACAAAUAAAAGAAUGUAAAAAAUCACAAGUAAUAUACUUACUUUUGGUACUUAGACAUUGAAGUAUGUAUAUGUUUGUUUGUCCUAUCUUGAUACCACAUGAGCGCUCCAUAGUGGAUGCAUUCAAUCAGAGGAUCACCAAUGUCUGAAUAUCCUGAACAAAAUGAAAUGCAUUUAAGUAAAUGUUUCACAUUAACUAAUAUUAUAAAAUAUUAGAAAACAUAGAUUUAGAAAAUGAUAUGUAAAUAAGAAUCUAAAAUAUAAAUAUUUAAAAAGCUGACUAUAAUGAUAUGUACAAAUAUUCUCAAAAUCAUCAAAGAUAGAAUUUGAAUUAUAUAUUUCAUUAUCUUCAAGAAUUAAGCUUGAACCGGAGUUAUCAUCUACAUGUUGGUAUUCACCCGCACUGUCAUUUGAGUAAUCAACAGUUAAGUGUUCAUCAUUGAAUCAUAUAUUUCAUCAUCAUCGAGAACAAAACCAACUUUGAAAAUCCAUCUUGUUGGAGUAAAGAACAUAAACUGUAGCUUAAACAAAUGGUACAAUACAAGUUUAAUAUAUGGCAUAAGUGUUACAAUUCAUUUCUGAAGUUAAAAAUUCACAUGGUAAAGGUGAAUGGUCACACGUAGAACUUUGUGAUGGUGGAAAAGUUGGAUUCGCUUCAUUAAUGGUUGAUACUAAACCUAUUAUUAUAUUAGGUGGUUGUAUUAAUUCCAUAAGGUUACUUGAAAUCAUGAUGCUAUUUACCUACACCAAUUUAGUAGUCAAUGCAGACUUCAAAAAUCGUAAAGUUAAGUGUAGCAGGUAGGAAUAUCAAAGAGUUUUGUUACAAAUUCCCCAGUGUAUUGUCAAUUCCGCAUUACCAAGUCCAGAGUAAGAAGUAACCUAGAAGUAAUAUAUAUAGAAGCAAAGUUCCCUACAUCCUCGUUGUGUCUCUCAAAAUAUCAAAUUCAGAACCUUUGAAACCAUUUUCUCAAUGUCUUCUUUGUCCAGCAGGUUAUAUAUCAAACCUAUGUUUAUCAAACAAUUUUUUUGUUUUUGUCUAACCUAACAUGUUUUAAUCUGGUUCGAUGAGAUUAACUGUUUCGAAUUUACAGUGUAUCAUAUUUUGAUACAGACGAAAUCAUGAAAAUAAUAGGUGGAUAGCUUAGGGAUGUGAACCAACCAUAACCUUUAAACGAAGUUCAAGCAACUUAUAUGUUCCCUAAAAUCAACAAGAGUGAGGAGAAUGAAGUACAUUGUCAAGCACAAUAGGAGAAUGCGAAUGAUGGAUUUGUUGAAAAGGUGAAUGUAGAACAGUCCAAUGCAACACGGGAGAAAGUGAAUGUAGAAGAAUUGAAAUCAGAUUUGUAUUGGGAGAAAGAGAUCAGAAGGACUUUAAAGGGUGGAAAAAAUGUAUUGGUGAUAAUUUAUAUAAGAUAUUGCAAAUCAUUUUUCCUCUAUAUGUUUUUCAUUUUAGUAUAAUGAUUAUUUUGAUUAUGUAUAAACUGACAAAACAUUUAAGUUUGUAGUAUUUUCCAGCUGAUAAUGUUAGGAUGGGUCUACGUGUGGACCAUACUGCCCUCACCUUGGUGGACCUUAAAAAUAUGACAUUCCACGAAUGUGAGAUUCUCAAAGGAAACAAAUCAAGGAUGGAGAAGCACCUUGGCUAUGGUUGGUAUGAGUAUGCAAAGUCAAAAUAGUUUAAGAUUGACGAUCUCUUGCUAUUUUAUUAUCGCACUGCUCCACAAAUGAUGAACGUUAGGCUGCUGAGACAACCAAGAAAGAAGAAUGCUUGAAGGAAUAAAUGAGGAUUUAAGGUCUGUUUGUCUAUGUGUUUUGAAUGUUUCACUUUUUAAUUUAAGGAAAAGUUAUUCCAUGAUUCUGUCAAUGUCUUUUUGAUUUUAAGUUGAAGUUAAUGUUUAUGUUUCCCUUAUUAUGUAAUAUCAGUAAAAUGAAUGAAAAAUUUCAUUAAGUUUCUUUCAAUUAGGUUACGUGCAAAUGUUUGCUUUAGAUAAUAUAAGUAGUAAACCCAUAUGUUAGAGUUUUCAACCUAUUUUUGCUAAUGCUAAA
rnacentral:lncRNA from 1 species